UGAAAAGUCGGAUUAAUCUUCAUUAUUUUCUCGUUUCGAUGAAAAUAUUAGAUCCCAACAAAAUAUUUUUGAACAACAAAUUUUUCUGUUGUCAUCUAAAUUUCAUUCGAUCUUCCGCAUCUCAAACCGAACCUAUAUAAUGUUCUUAUUUAGUAGUAAUUUCUCAAACUUACAACUGAUCAUGGUGCUCCACCAAAAGCACUAAUGAAAAAUAACAUUUGCAUAUUCACAUCAUUAAUUCCCUAUCUUUUCAUAUUGAUAGCUAGACACCCAUAUAUAAUUCAAUCUUCUUACUACUUGAUCACCACACACUAAAUAUUUCCCCCUUCGCUACCUGUAUUACUUUCACUUCGUCAUCGUCGUCCUCAACAACAAGGAGUAGGCAUCGGCGGCUUGACCCUGGCCGGAGGGUAGUCAUCGGUGUCUACCUUUGUCAUUCUUUCCACAACCAACUUCCUCCCACCUAUACCAAUAGAUAGUUCACAACAAUCAGUUCAACUACAAUAUACGAUAACACAUAGUAAGGAACAUACAUUAGAUAAUGUAAUCAUAGAUGAUCGUAAACAAUUGUCAUGAACCAGAAGCUAGCUAACAAUCACCUAGGAAGAAAUGCAAUCGACAUAUGAAGUGCUCACCGAUAGUUGGUCGUUGCUUGCCAAGAACAGGUCCACCCGUCGCAUUUUGAAGGCUUUCAAUCGAACUAUCUGAAGAGGUGGCGUACGAAACUCGAGAGGAGAGUAUUAAGACAAGGAUGAUGAUCAUAGACAUACCAAUUGAUAGAUUAUGAUUGUGUUGGUUUCUCUUGGAAGUAGCCAUAAUAACACAAAGAAUAACUAGAAAGAUGGAGUAGUACUAUAUGAAGUAGAGAUGAAGAUUAUCCAAAAGUAAUAUGGUGGUAUUUAUAGAAGAUUGGACUUGAAACUAGAAGUAGAGCUCUCUAUGUGUUAACUUUUGGCCCUAUGAAACUAGGGUUAGGUUUGGGUGGGGUGGUGGUGGUAUGAUCAUGCAAGAAAUUAAGCAGAAAUUGUCAAAUACUAAAUAGGGUUUGAUGGGAGAUUAUGAUGUGAAAACAUUGAAAAGUAGGGGACUGAUAAUUAAGACAAUUUGCCACUAAUUAGUCAAGUUUCUUGAUAUUCAUAACAGUUUCAAAAUAUAUGUAUUUUUGAUAGUAUUUAUUAGGGUGANNNNNNNNNNNNNNNNNNNNNNNNNNNNNNNNNNNNNNNNNNNNNNNNNNNNNNNNNNNNNNNNNNNNNNNNNNNNNNNNNNNNNNNNNNNNNNNNNNNNNNNNNNNNNNNNNNNNNNNNNNNNNNNNNNNNNNNNNNNNNNNNNNNNNNNNNNNNNNNNNNNNNNNNNNNNNNNNNNNNNNNNNNNNNNNNNNNNNNNNNNNNNNNNNNNNNNNNNNNNNNNNNNNNNNNNNNNNNNNNNNNNNNNNNNNNNNNNNNNNNNNNNNNNNNNNNNNNNNNNNNNNNNNNNNNNNNNNNNNNNNNNNNNNNNNNNNNNNNNNNNNNNNNNNNNNNNNNNNNNNNNNNNNNNNNNNNNNNNNNNNNNNNNNNNNNNNNNNNNNNNNNNNNNNNNNNNNNNNNNNNNNNNNNNNNNNNNNNNNNNNNNNNNNNNNNNNNNNNNNNNNNNNNNNNNNNNNNNNNNNNNNNNNNNNNNNNNNNNNNNNNNNNNNNNNNNNNNNNNNNNNNNNNNNNNNNNNNNNNNNNNNNNNNNNNNNNNNNNNNNNNNNNNNNNNNNNNNNNNNNNNNNNNNNNNNNNNNNNNNNNNNNNNNNNNNNNNNNNNNNNNNNNNNNNNNNNNNNNNNNNNNNNNNNNNNNNNNNNNNNNNNNNNNCAAUUUGAUCAUAAUUAUUAAUCGAAAGACUAGCUAGUUAAUCGAGUGUUACAUGGGUCUUGCAUGACAAAAUAGCAUGGUGUAGCUAGGUCAUCAUUUCGUCGGCGGUUGUGAUAAGAUUUAGAGAUUGACGGUUGUUAUCAGUUGGUGUUAGGAGANNNNNNNNNNNNNNNNNNNNNUAUAUUUGGGUUAGGUUUGUAUUUGAGUUUUGUGGUGUAAUAUUUCCUAUCUCCUUAAGUCUUUUUUUGUGGGUUUUGGUCUUUUUUUGUUAUUCACUCUUUUAGUAAUAUAUAUUGUUGAUUUGUCAAAAUAAAAGUAGCUAGGUCACCAAUCAGAACCACCGUUGAUAUAAACUGAUGCCACAUAACGAGUUUUUAUUUAAUAAAUAAUUGAAUGAUUCAAUGCACUCAACCUGAUUAUUUAAAAUUUAAAAUACACGAAACUACAUAUAAAAAUUAUAUCAAUCAACUUCUAAAUAUAAAUAAAAUUACAUAUUAUCAAAACUUCAAAUCUAAAUCCAUGUUGAAUCUAUGUAAACCCAACAAAAAGACUAAUCUCUUUAACCUAACUACUUUUGAGAUGAACUUGUUGGAAAAACAUCCAACACCAACCAUUUGUUGACAUGAAUCGUUUGAAUUAAUAAUUUCUGAAUCGACACAAAUCAAAUUCAAAAGAUCAUUUGUCAUCAAAGUUUAAAUUGGCUUACUUUUUACAUGCAUAUAAACUAGUGAUGUUGGCGGGGGUAGCUAGUGAUGUUGGCGGUAAUCUCCUCACCUUCCACUCCCUUCCUAAGCUUUGACAUUGGCAUGAGAUGGUAGCCAGUAACAAGCUUGUGUGCAAGAAAGAUAUUAUCACUAAUUUAUCUUCCCGCUUCCAUCCAUGCCUGAAGGGGUAUAUAACAUAAAGUUUUGACCUCUACUUUAUCAAUUGUUAAAAUUUUGCGAUAAAAAUACAUUAAUAUGGUAUGAUUCUUUUUUAAGAAAUCCACACAUAACUUUCAAGUUUGUUGUUCCCUCUAAGUACGUAGAUUUUUAUAUGGAUUUAACCGUAAAGGGCGCCAACUUCUUCUGAAACUCUUUGAAUUCAGGAUUGUCAACAUGCGGGAAGGAUCAAAUUUCCCUCUAAAACCAGACAAUUAAUGUUAACUAAAAUAUCUUCCUUAUCAAUGACCUAACUGACCCCACUUUAUAAUCGUUAAAAAAACAGUUACAAGUAUAUCGUUCAAAAUUUCAUCAUUAAUCAAGUAUGUUAUUUUCUCUUUCAACGUCUAAACACGUGUAUUGUUCUAUCAAUUAAACCACACGACGAGCUAACUUCUCCUUAAAUCUUUUGAAUACAGAAUUUGUCAACACAUAUAAAAACGGGGAAAACCCUUUCCCUCCAAAACCAGAUUAUCAGCCCUAAACAAAACCAUUUUCCUUCCCCAUUACAGAUUCCUACUUUACAAUCGUUUUAAACAUUCAUGUACGUAUUUUGCUCGAUCAUUUCUCUCCUUAAACCUCUUCACGAGUCAAAAAAAACCAUAAACCCUACCGGCCCGAUUCAACACAAUCUUAAAAAUACGUUUUUUUUCGUUUUUACGUCCCAAGUCAUCCCAAAAUUUAUAGCAUGCCAGUUUGGUUUACAAUUUAAAGUCUCAAGUAGUUAAUGUAGGAAAAUCUCCUUGGAUUUUUUUAUAUUAAAUUACCAAAACUUUUUUAUUAUAACAAUUAAUGUAUUUAAUGCACAGACCAUAAAUUGUCAAAUUAACCUUUUUGCCUGACAAUUUAGGAAGCAUAAUAAAAAAGUUUCUAUGAGUCAAUUUUGGUAACAUACAAUCGUAUCGCUUUUGACAUCUAGAAAGGCCUUUAAAAAGAAUACCAGAUUGGUUGGUUCUUUCACUCUGUUAAGUCUGAUAUUGUUGUCUGCAACUAGACAAGAUUUGCAACUGUUCAAAUGUCGAAUUCGUAUGAAAUCCACCAGGUCCUUUCAUUUUUUGCCUUCUUCGUCGUAUUAUCCAUUCAUUUGAUUUGUUAACUGAGUGUUAAUAUGUGGAUUUUUGGUCUUCAAAACACCUGCAAAUCAAAAUAUAUAUGCUGCAGAUCCAAAGUAUAUGAUGAGAUCUGGAUUUUGGAACAAAUUUAUAUGUAUAUUUUGCGAUUUGGAUCGUCAUGCCGAGAAAGAUUAUGUGUUAUGCAAGAACCAAUCACUGUUAGUCUGAAUUUGAAAUGUUUUGAGUCAUAACGUCGCUAACGGUCAUCAAAAUAACUGUAUUUUAAAUAUUUAAAUAGACGCGCCAAAAUCGAAGUAUUUGAAUAUAAAUAUUAUUAAUGAAAAAUAACUGAGGUCCGAUUUUGGAUGUCUAAACCAUAAUAUUUGAUAUAAUUACAUUUUCUAUUCAUUGCAGGAUAAUGAAACAGUAGGCCAAAUGGCCCCGAAUUCUUCUACCGCGCGGCCGGUGGAGCGCAACCCUGUUGAUGUAGAACGACUGCGGUCAACGAUUAGGGAACUGUUGUCGGUAAUAAAUAUUAUCGUCGGUCUUUCAAUUGAUUUCUCAUAAUUAUUGCAUUCAUAUCGAUUUUCGAACUAUAUGAAUUUUCUCGUAAUAUAAGGGUCCCUUUUUGUUUUUUAUAGCUGGAGAAGGAGGAUCUCAAAAGAGUAUUGAAUGAGAAUUUAGCAACAAAAAACAAUUCUCCCCUCGAAGCUCAACCUAUCUCGUACAGUCUACCGGCUGAAGGAUCGUCCAAUAAUUCGGUAUGUAAUAUAAGGGCAAGUACGUAAAAUUGAUUAUUGACUAGGUUGCGAUCUUUACAUAGCUUAACUAACAUAUUUACACUUGUACCGAUUUCAGUUUAUAUAAGUGUAAUCUCACUGUUAGCGAUUUCUAGCAUGCAUGUACGCAACCACUUGUCUUCGUAACUAGUAUGUUUGAGUACUCUUCAGAUCGUUUCUCUUGGAAAAGAAAAGCUGAAGCAGCCUUGUGCAACAACUGGAAGAUAUCCUUUACCAAUAAAUCUUCCUCAAGAUUUUAUCGAAAAUCUUCCGAAAAUUGAAAAGGUAACAUUUAACUAGUCUUGAUUGAAUUUUCUACAUGAAAUUUGGAUUACCAACAAGAUGUGGUUACAGAUCUUGAAUUCAUCCAACAAGAUGGUACAAGGUGGCCAGUUUUCUUUGGCACAAAGGCUCCAAGGUUGGACCAUUGAGGUCAGACAACGAGCUCUAGGCCGAUAUGAUACGGUACGUAUUACUUUAUAUCCUACCUAACGAAAAGUUGUUAAUAGUUACGUAUACGCAUAUAUAAACCAUCUACCUAAAUGUGUACUUACAUAUACUAAUGUUUUGUGUAUAUAUGUACAUGUGUAGUACUUUUACAAUGAGGGCAUAGAUACGACGUUUCGCUCGAUAACAAGGGUAAACAAGUACAUAUUAUAUAAUGAUCUGGUAAGUAAAAUUGUCCAACAUGACUUGUUCCAAAUUAUCUAUGCCAUUUUCAUUUAGUAUAGAUAAAUGAUUAUUCUAUAUAGAGUUAGCAUUCGGUCGGGUUAUUCACCAAACUCACUUGUCGUUAUCCAACCUGCUCAAAAGUGAGUGGCUAUUAUGGGUGGAUUUGGUUUGUCUAUCUAGUCACCCACCAUGUGUUAUCCGUUUAAUCUACCGGACCAAUAUACUAGUCGGAAAAACCUAUAAUUUCCCUAUUAUUUUUUAAAGUUCCUCCUCUCGAAUCCUCUAGACGGUAGGACUCUUGCUUUAACAGUUUGUAUUGUUUAGCUAUAAGAAUGUGUCUGAAGGUCUAUGGAUGAUGGAAAAUAAGGCACAUUUUCCUUAUUAUUGUUCUUGUUUGUGGAAGCUUAACAUGAUUUCAUGUUUUAGUGGAGUUUAUACUUAUCUGCUUAACCCAUCCAAAUCCAUCACCACCCGUUAUUACCCACCUGCAACCACCCACCAUUACUAAGUGAGUAGGUGUGGGUCGUACAAAAAGUGACCCAACAGUUAACAAAUGAGUUGAUUUUGUCCUCAAACCUAACCCACUCAAUGCUCAGCCCUAAUUCUAUCCCGGGAUUAAUGUGAUAAAAGAGAAGCCAUUUAGAUUCUUACACUCAUAUAAGUUGUUAAUUUUUAUGGGGUGAAUUCACAAUUUCAGGAACCAAAUAGUGCAAAGAAGGAAGGAAAUGAUGAGAUCAGAGAGACUGAAAUGGCUAAAAGAAAGAUCAUCGAGGUGGCUGAUAAAAAGAUGGUGGAAGAUUUCCUCAGAGAAUCGUACUACAAUCUUAUGCACUAUCAAGGGGACCCAGCUUAUUAUACCUCUGUGUAAAAUCAAGAGGAAUUGCAUCUGCCGGAACCUUGAACCAACAACUUGCUUGUUUUUUAUUUUAUUUUUAAACUUGAGUAUGGUGGAUUUUUGUUGGUGAACGUUUUAUAAUUUAUGCUUGGCUACUUAGUGCUUGGUAGGGCUGAUAAUUAGACAUGUUGGUUGUCAUUGAUGCUUCAACGUGCAUGAGUUUUAGCUUUGCUUCACAAGCUUCGAGGUUGAGAGCUUCGUCAGCUUCCUAUCGUGGUUGAGCAUCGAGCUUACACUCUCGACCACUAAAACAAUCUGGAGAAUAUCGACAAGUGCAAAGCUUAAACAUCUCCUUUUAAGUCUACCGGUUACGGAGGAGAGGAGUACAGCAUAAGAUUCUAAGACUGUAUUCAUGGUACAGAAGCAGAGAUGAUGUACCUGCAAGCAAGCAUAGGCCAUCACAGUUGCAUAGUACAAGUUUGCAUUGCCAGUGCCCUCCUGCAUAUUACAUUAAUCACAAUUCGUAAUGUAGAAAUAUAUCGAUAAUUUUGGAUGAUGCAAAAGAAGACGAGGUUGUCGUACCCUCCAAAUCCAAAGAUUAUGCAUCAUUAUGAAGGUUGUAUCAUGUAAUCUAUAGUCUAUUUGGUUGUUAUCUUUCCCACCAUUUGAUUCAGUACAUCCUCCACUUCUCAGAAUAUCCACCAAUUUCAUUUCGUUCCAUCAAUAGAAGUAAGAACCACAUCUAUAGAAAAAACCACCCUUUAUCUACAAACUGAUACAGAAGAAAUCCAAUGGCUACAUAACAGUGAAGUAAGGAAGAUGUCUCAUCAGAUUAUAACUCAUCUUUCUUUGUUUGGAAUGGCAGGCAAUGAAUCAAAGAGCAAUGACGUUCAUGAACUUGCGCUUGGCAAAAGCGAACCACCAUUUGUUCGGAGUGCCGUUGUGUCUAUAGGCAACACUCAACAACCUCCCACUUGUUUCUUCUCUUAUCUGCUUCAGAUACUCCCUGAACAGCUCUGCUUCAUUGUGAGAUUGAGGUUCGAUGAAUAGGCCAGGAAAUGGGAAACCAGACUCUCCUGGGACUGGAACAUUCUCCAAACCCAAGUUAAUGAUGGCUUUAGUACCUACAGCCAAAGUUCUGCAACCUUCUAACCUCUUCAAAGCAACGUUGAUGUAGAAUGUUAAGUAGAUGAGAAGCUUAUCUGCAGGGCUCUUGAUGUCGAAGUUUCUGAAGAAGACGUUUGCUCGAAAGAAGGUUAUUGCUUCGUCGACUAUAUCAGUUUUAUCUGAAAGACAACACAAGUGGUUUGUAUAUCAAUAAAAAGGUAAAUAAGAAACACAAGCAAGAAGCUUUAAGGAUAUGGCCUGUACAUCGAACCUUGAUUUGAAGUUGGAGCAGGACCCUUAAUAUGGGAUUUCAAAGGAAGUAACGGGCAGCCGCAAGCUUUUGUAACUCCAUCAUCAUCCACGAAACUGGAGUGAUAAACCUACAAAUGACGAAAUCAUGUGAAUUUUCAAACAAUCAAUGCAUCAAAAUGCGCUGCCGAAGUCAAUUGAUUUCAAAUUUGAGCAAUAGGAGAAUGAUUUCUCUUACCAUUUCUUCAAACUCCCGAGGCGAAAAGCUGCGAUAUAGUUGUUGCUGCAUAUAAUCAGAAACGAUCCAAGUGAUUCAGAGACGGGAACAAUGGAGAUAAGUUGCAAGUUGGAUCGGAAAGCCAAAGAGGCAAAUGGAUCCAAGUGAUCACAUUUCUACAUGGCAUCUCAUUAAACAAAGUUUCGAGCCAAACCCAUACCACCCACUUUGACGAUCAAUUACAGGACGAGGAAUCGGCGUUGUUCAGGCAGGCUAUGAUCCUAUCAUAGAAAUUGCAGAUCGAACAGAGUUAAUGGGUGAGAAAUCUAACUACUGGGCAUCAAAACUUUAUGGAAAUCUAACUACUGGGCAUCAAAGCUCACCCUAGUUUCUGCUUCUUCCGGAAAAUCUCUAGCUGGAGCAAACUUCACGCCAGAUCGAGCACCGUAGCAACCCGAGAGAGUAAAAGAUUUUUGCUUUUGUCUAAGCAGAGGGAGAAAGAAUCGAAACGGAGAAAGAUUAGUGAUUCAGGAUUUGCAAAAUAAUUUAUCUAUAUCGGAUGGAUUAUUACAUUUCAGUACCCAAAACAUAAUCUUUUUAUAUAAAUUAUAAUUUGGCCGGUUUAUAAUUUUAAUUUGCUUGAUAGAUCUUCCGAUGACCGGCACAACUUUUACUUGGUCGAAUUUUCGGUAUAUGUUAUUAUUUUGAAGAAAUUCGUGCAUAACUUUCAAGUUUGUUAUGUUCCGUUUUUUAACAUCCAUGCAGGUUACGUAAAUUUUUGUAUGGAUUUGAACCGCAGAGCGCGUUAACUUCUCUUGAAAUUUCUUAAAUUUGAGAUUGUCAACACGGGGAAGGAUUAACUUUUUCUCUAAAACCGGAUAGUCAAUGUUAACUAAGAUAUUUUCCUUAUCAAUGACCUAACUGGCCCCACUCUAUAAUCGUUAAAAACAGUUAUAAGCAUACCGUUCAAAAUUUUAUCAUUAAUCAAGUUUGUUAUUUUCUUUUUCAACGUCUAUUUUCGACCAAUUAAAUUAUAUGACGCGCCAACUUCUCCUUAAACCCUCUGAAUUCUUGAUUAUCAAUACACGCUUAUGAGGAAAAAUCUUCCCUCCAAAACCAAACUAUCAGUGCUAAACAAAACCAUUUCCCUUCUCCAUCACAGAUUCCUACUUCAUAAUCGUUUAAACAUUCAUGCACUACCUUAUACUAUCAUUUUGACCGCACCGCAAAUCUACAUUGACCUUCUCUUUCCUUAAAUUUCCUCACGAGUUAAAAAAAAUCAUAAAUCGUCUCUCAGAACGACCAGAUCUAGUUCAACAAAAUCUCACUUAAAAACACCUAGAGGAUAAACCCGUCCGGUUUGGUUGGUUAGCGUAGAUGGAUUACUCUUUCAUCAAGUCGAAUCCCAAACGUAAAAUUUUCAAAUGAAACGUAAAGCGAAUCACGAAUGGGUUGGUUCAUUAACAAUACACUGUUCAUUGAUAUAGUUUGAUUUGGAAAUGUCCAAGUCAAAUGGAAUCCACCAGGUUAAUUCAUUUUUCCUUCUUCAUCAUAUUAUUAUUUUUGAUUCAUUUGAUUUAUUAACUAUUUUUCAAUAUCUAUAAAUAAUCAUAACUCAUAAAAUGUAUCAACUCACAUAUAUGAUAAGAAUAUGUGGAUUUUUGGUCUUCAAAACACUUUGAAAACAAAAUAUAUGUUGUAUAUCCAAAGUAUAUGAUGAGAUCUGGAUUUUGGAACAAAUUUAUAUAUAUCUCUUCGAAUGAUUUUCAAAAGAUUUGAAUCGUCAUGUCAAGAAAGAUUAUGUGUUCGGCAAGAAACAAUUAUUGCUAUCCUGAUAACAGAUCUACUAUACCGUGUGAAGAUAACGGUAAUUUGAAAUGCUUUAAGUCAUAAUGUCACUAACGGUAAUCAAAAUAACUGUAUUUUGAAUAUUUAAAUAAAUGCGUCAAAACCAAAUUUGCAUAAAAAUUAAUUACUUAAAAAAUUAAGGAAGAAACCCUAUUUCGGGCUAACAUUUUAUGCAAAUUAAUUACCAUAUUUACACUUCUAUUGAUUUUUGGUGUACAUUUUAUAUCUCUUGAAGUGUAAUCUCACUAUUUACGAUUUCUAACAUGCAUGUACGCCCGUCUUCAUAAUAAGUUUAUUUGAGUAUUCUUGAGAUCGUUUUUUAUGAAAAAAAAAGUGAAACAACCUUGUGUAACAACUCGAAGAUAUCCUUUACCUUUAACUCUUUCUCAAGAUUUUAUCGAAAAUCUUCCGAAAAUUGAAGAGGUAACAUUUAACUUGUCUUGAUUGAAUUUUCUACAUGAAAUUUAGAUUACCAACAAGAUGUGGUUACAGAUCUUGAAUUCAUCCAACAAGAUGGUACAAGGUGGCCAACUGUCGUUGGCACAAAAGCUCCAAGGUUGGAUCAUUGAGGUCAGACGUCGAGUAGGUGACACAUAUGAUACGGUACGUAUUACUUUAUAUCUCGUGUAACGAAAAAUUAUUGCUAGUUACUUGGCUACUUAAAUGUCUACUUACAUAUACUAAUUAAUAUUUUGUGAAUAUAUGUACAUGUGUAGUACUUUUACCAUGAGGGCAUAGAUUGGGAGUUCCGCUCAAUAACAGGGGUAAACAAGUACAUAUUGUAUAAUGAUUUGGUGCUCUAAUAAAACGUUAGUUGUUAGUAUGCACUGGAUACCAAACAUUGGUGAUGCUUUAAUAAAACGUUAGUUGUUAAUAUGCACCGAAUGUCGAACAAUAAGUGACAUCCUAUGCCUUUUACGCCUUAAUGCUACAAAGUAUAGGUUGUAUUAACAGUGUCAUGUAUAUCGACGGUGUUGACGUGGCAUCCAAGUGGACAUCCAUGUAGAUACCCGCAGCAAUGACGUGGCAUGUCAUUCUGUUACGUUUGGCCAUAUAAUUGCAUCUACCUAUUGGUCCAUUUGGCAGCGAAAAUGUGGAAUGGAAUUUGGAUGAGAAUAAAAAAGUUAGUUGGGAUAUAAAUUUCCCGCUCGAAUAAAAAAGUGCUUAAAUUCCAUUCGACAUUCCCGCCGCCAAAUGGACCAUAUGAAUUGACAAAAAUAUUGUCUCCAGUUAGUAAGACAGACGGAAAAUUGAUCGGUGUAAUUAAAGUUACACAUGAGUGGUAUCCGAUAAUGGAGAAGAAGAAUCAAAUAACUGAUCAGUACAGAAACUUGGCUUCUGGACUAACUAAAGAGUUUUCUGAAAUGCCAAAACAAGAGUUUGAUCAGACAUAAUUUACAAAAAAAAGUACCAAAUUUUCAACUUUAGUUCUCCAGAAUAGGGUUCCUUCCUUCAUCAAUUUCAAUCACUAGUAGAUUCUCAGGAAUUGACCCUUUUGGCCCUUCUGCAUAUAGUGUUGGUAGAUAUGCUUUGUAUGCUGGCAGAUACCUUGAAACAAAGUCUUUCACCUGCACAAAAAAACACAUAACAGAUGAAAUCGGUCCGGUUUACAGGUUAAUCGACGACCUACUCCCACCCCACCAUUCUCAAUCAAGACUAGACCGAAAAGUUCCCAUUGAUAGAACCAAAACCUUCUUGAAACCGGAUGCAAAGCCGAUUUCUCUAAAUGGGUUUUGGGUUAACUAAGAAAUCGAAACAGGUUCUGUGAAACCACUGAUUAUCACCUCAUCAUAAUCAAGACCAGACAGAAAAUUAUCAAACUUUGAAGAGUUUCCAGUCAAAAGAACCAAAAACCAACUGGAAACCGAUUCAAAGCCGAUUUCCAAACUGAGAAAUCAAAACGGGUUUGAAAUGCUCGUAGUAUAUACAAACCUCCUCAUCAGUCAUCCCAGGUUUGCCUGCUUCCCUCAUUGCAAUUUCUGCCUGCAAGAAGACAAUAUUAACCCCAUGGACAUCUGGAUACAGAAACUAAGUUUCCCAUGAAGCACAACAAUUCUUCAAUAAUUAGUAUUAACAAGCAAACCUGCAAUCGCCACUGGUAGACACAACUAGGGUCCUGAAUCUUAAUGACUGCCCAACAGUUCACAAACUUGUCCCAUGCAUCAUAGUAUGCUUCGAGAUUCUUGUUCACUAUCUCCAACUGUACUAAUGAACAUAAGAAAAGUUUAGGUUCUUAGAAUCAAGAAUCACUGCGGAGGAAGGAAUCACUUAUAGGAUAACCUGUGGAUCGACAGCUCGAACAGCUUCUUCUGGUUGAGGUUUGAACCCGAGCAUCCAGCCUUCAAACAGAACCACCUGGAUUUCAAUAUGAUUCAUCAGUGAAACUAUCAUUAAAUGGAUAUAACUAGUUACUGAGUACUAGUACAAGCUUACCGUUAAUGGCCCUUCAACCUCUGGCCAGGCAGAAGGAUCACCUCGAUCACCUUUCCCAUUGAAUGCAGACUACAAAGAUGAAACGGUCAAGAACAAACUCCGAUCUCAAAACAAAUAGAGAGCCAUAUAUAUCAAUCUUACUUUGUUAUAGCGGGGUAGCUUCAUCUUCAUACCUGAAAACUUGAGAUGAGAAAGGAACCGGAUCAAAUAAAAAAACUCAUAAACAUGGACCAAGAGCAAAAAAGCUCCUACCUUCUUUAGUCAUUCUGCACAGAGAUGUCAGCGUUUUGACCGAGAAUGGAAGAUCGUGGCUCCCAGCAUUUCCCCGUAACUAGUUAUAAACAAAUGUAUACUAUUCAAAGUCACUUCUCCAUUCACCAUAAAAGAAAGAAGUUUCUUGCUUGCUUGAUUACCUCGAGAAGUGCAUUCCCCGGGUUGGCUUCUCGCAGCUUCGCCUGAUCCUCUGCAGUCAAAUAGAAGUCAUCUAUUGAUAUUGUUGCAGACUUCCUGAGAAAAAAGGUUAGUGCUUUCGGUAAACAACUCGAGUUAUUAUACGAAUCACAUUUCGGAACAGUUACGUUCUUGUAAAUAUGUAUGUAUACCUUCCAGUUACAUCAAAGAGAUGAGCAAGAGCAGAUACAAGGGUAGUUUUUCCACAGCCUUGAGGUGCACUGAAACCAAUCUGUACCAGUAUCCCACAGAAUCCAAACCCCCAUUUGAACUACUAUUUUACAAAUGCAAGAAAAAGAUAGCAAGUAAUUUCAUAUGUACAUACCACUAGAGGAGUGACUUCAUCUCCAUCUUUGAACUGAGAAAUGUGCUUCGAAAUCUGGUUUUCGCACCAGAUGAAGACCGGGAUGUAGUAGUGGUAGAACCUCGCCUUCUGAGGUUCGUUGAGGUACAUGUCUUUGAGCUGAAACAACCGGCACAAGAGCGAUCCGUACAGAAUCCACUUGUCGAUGGACUCAGCAAUCGCCUCCGAACUCAAACCUAUCUUGGCUACAAGAGGACCCGAGCAUAUGAACUCGUAGAGGUUUUCGACAGCAGCAACUUUUGCAGGAGCUGAUGGGAAAGCUGAGUCAAUGGAUGAACCUAUUCUCCAUGAUGAAUUUCCAAAACCUGCAACAUCAGCAUCAAGAAUGUAACUCCUCCUGGUGAUGUAAAUGCCAUUCCCAGAAAUGUCAGCCGAAAACAAAGAAAAAAAUUUCCAACUUUAGAAAUCACAUUCAGAAGUUUAUCUUCCAUUGGAAAUUCAAAUUCCAUUUCUGAAACUCCCACGAACCAACCAAACAAACACAAUAAUUUUUAAAAUUCUGCAUUGAGUUCUGGAUUCGCCCACCUCUGAAUCCUGAUUCCGCCAUUGUUGUAGAAUCCAAUUAGAAAACGGCAUCCAAACAUGUGUAGAAAACUUUUGGUCAAUUUGCAACUGAAGGAUCGAAAUUUCACCUGAUUUAGAGAGAUGGGUAUGGAUCCGAGAAGGCUUGAAAGACCUGGAGGCUGACGAAUUGGAAGGAGACGAAGAACAGUGAUGAUACGAACAAGGGUAGUUGUUGUUACUACGGCUGUUAAUCUCGAUGGAUAGGGUAUUGUAAUCACAGUCAUGGUGGGUGUGGAGUUUUGCAGAAAAGCUGCAGCAGAGUGGCGAUGCCGCGUUCAAACCCGCCAUUGCCAUCCUCUCUUUCAGCUGCUGUCACAAUAUCUCUGUCUUCUUUAUCUUUUCUUCCGCUGUUUCUAUUUUGACUAUUUCCUGGUUCAGAGAAAUUAGGGGGUGGAGAGGAAUCAAACAAGAUAAGAUAUUCAUUUGGGUUUUUGUUUCUGGUGAUGAGAGUUAGCGGCCAGAGGCUGCCAAAGAGAGGCCAAUUUUAAGACUGUAGAUUGUCAUAUACUACUCAUAAAGAGAGGCCAAUUUUAAGGUCUGUUGUUUUCGAGCUCGCCUGUUCAUAAAUCGAACCAAACCGAAUUUCACAAUGUUUAAACUGGAUUCUCGUUACUUGUUAGGCGAGCUCGAGCAUAACUCAUUCACCAUCUUUGACGUGAGCCAAACUCUUCAAGCAGUGGGCAAUUGGUAAUGAAAUGUUCAGGAAUCUCGCGCCGAACAUUAACAUAACUCAAGCGCAAGGAUCUCAGGAACCUAAUAUCAUGCAUCCCAGCUGGACGUUUAAUGUGAUCGUAGCAUUCCUCUGGAAAAACAUAGUUGACCACAUGAUGCUUCACCUCUAAAUCAAAGGCUAGAAGGCUAGAUGAAGAGAUUCCACCCUCUUUGAAAUUGCAAACAUGAUCCAUCUAUCAAUAUCCCCUUCCGAAUCACUUUUUUCCGGUAAGUAGUCGAAUUUUGGUCACUUUUUCUCAUUGGGUUGUUGUUAAUUUAUUGCUCUAAUCAUGUUUUUUAUAUAACUAAAAAUAAUAAUUUUUGCCACAUUUUGAUUUCAACACAGGGCCUCCGAAAUCCAUUGUACGGCCUUGUCCAGAAGUCAUCGUUGUCAUGGAUAAACACUGGUAGUGGAGGGGCUAGCACCAAUUCGUUCCAGAAGUCAUCGUAGUCGUGGAGAAGCGGUAGUGGUGGUGGUGGUGAUGGUGAAGUGAUUUGAGUAGUGUGGGAAUCCAUUCUCUAGUGAUUCCAAUGAGUAGUUGAUGAUGAGAACAACGAGCUAUGAAGGUUUAUAUAUAAGUGUGAAUACUCAAUUUACUGUUGGACUAUAUUGUAAUUCCACAUACUUGGUGUACUAUAUAUAUAUAAUGACUUCGAUACUCCUAGAGUACCAAAUACUUAGAUGUUCAAAUUACUCGUUUUUAAUUUGUGUAUACGCGUUGCGUUCGUGUCUGUACUAAUCUAAAGUCCUUCAACGCUCGGAUUCGUUGUAAUUUAGGAAGUUUGUGUAGAAAUAUCCUAUGGUUGUGAGGAGCUAUGUAUUAUUUCAUUCUGUUUGCACGAGUACCGCACAUUUGUAAAACUACUCUCGUUCCCCAUGGGGCGGAACAGAGUGUUUAUUGCAGAGUGAUAUAUUCUUAUGGAUCGAAUGAGGAAGACGUUCGAGCAGCAGCUGCAAUGAGCACUCUAUUCCGCCCCGCGGAGAACGAGAGUAGUCUUAGGUUCUACGGGGGUUUUCCGUCUGAGGUGACCACCGAAUGUGCCUUCCUUAGUAGUCCCAUAUCAGCAAUGCUCCUUCACUGACCUUCCCUCGGAUCGAAUCUUUCGCAUGACCUGCAACACCAAUCCUAACUGAAUAAGGAGAUGAUGAGAAAACUCAGUCUUAGAGGUAAACGAGUCCUACUUGAGAACGUGACUGUCAUCAGAGCCACCAAUAGCAUACAGUGCACCAUUGAGUUCCAGACCACCGAGAUCACAUCACUAGGAAGAUGAAGUAGAAAAAUUCAGUGUUAAGUGACACCCUCUCAUCGCUAGGAAGGUGGAGCAUCGCAUCGCUACUAUGAUAUGGUUUCAGAACCUUACCAUUAUUAUGGCCGAUGACGAUGGCGUUCGAGUUGUUGAGGCAUUCGAUGCAUAUCUACCGACCCUACAAAUUCGAUGCAUAUGAUUUCCUAUCACUAUUGUCUGUUUGAAACUUUGUAAUUUGGAAAAAAAAUUCUCUAUCAUCAAUUAUCAGCUCAUAUGGAUCUUUCUGUGUGAACAAUUAAUUGUUGGAGAAUGAAAGGAAAUUGAAUGGAUGGAUGAAUGAAUGGAGAGCUUUGGGUAUUUGUCAAAUGUAACUAUCAUGUAAUCACAUCUUACCAUUAAUUAAUCCCCCUUUUCAUUUUAGUGUAAUUGUAAGUGAAUAUGUGGUUUGUUUUUUCGAGUCUGCUCAUUCGGUCGAUUCUUUGCCCGCUCCUAUUCAGACCGAGUUGUUUCUCUCGGUUGCGAGAUCAGCAGGUUAUGCCAUUCUUAUGGUUUUUAUGGUUGUUAUAUGUCAGGUGAAAGGGAUACGUGCAACUAGAAAAUAGAAAGAGAAGUAAAUAUUACAAUGGUGUCCGUUUGUAGGGGUCGAACUUUCGAGUCACUGACACGCAACUCUAACACUAGAACAACUCCAUUUGAACUUUACUAGAAUCGACCGCAAUUAACUAUAUAUUAUCAUAAGUAUCUUAGUUGUAGAUUAAAAUCAGCACUUUUCAAAUAUAUGAGACCUCACUUUGGAACAUUUGUUUCCAUUCUAGCUACUUGAUACCAAGGGGAAAAGGUUCACAAAUAAUAGAACUAGCAAAAGGUAAAAUAGUUAAAGGCCACAAGCAAUGGUUGGGGGAAUGGCUUGCCCCACCUUCCCUAUCUUAUUCAUGUCCCUCAUAUAUACAUAUUUAAUUACAAACGAUUAUUGGAUGGUAUCAACCGUGAUUUUCGGAACCGUACCAUGACAUUAAACCGAUGAAUUUUGGUGUUCAAUUGCUUAAAACCAUUAUAGAAAUGUACUUCGAGUUAUAAUUAUAUCAAGAUUUUAUCAGAUUAUUUUGAUGAGUGGUGAGAUUGUGUUAUAUCAACCCUCCUUAUUACCUCCAUCUUAUACUCUUUGAUAUGUCCGUCAGAGGCUAAACCGUUAAGUAACCAAAAAGAAAGUCUGGUACUUUGUGAGCAAAUAUUUUUUAUCUGAUUUUUUCUAAUCUAAACCAACUCAUUACCCCACACAGACCUAUGGAGCAAAACAAAUUUUUGUCGAAAAAAAUCUUUUUCUUUUACCCUUGACGAUCAAUUUUAAAUUACUUUCGAAAUUUAAAUCACUUAUAACACAUAGAUCCACGCACAACCGUCAAAUAAAGUGAUAUCUCAUUUUCUUUUGUUUUCUUUCAAUUAACAAAUAAAGUGCUUUGGUAUAAUAGCUUCUAUAACACAAAUUUUUCGUAUCCUUAAUAUUUACCUGUCAAAUCCCCGCCAAAAACACCAAGUAAAUAUUUUGUAGAAACAAGCCAACACGUAUAUAAUAAGUCAAGUAGAUAUCCUGAAGCGGCACAAGGCUUGAUAAGGGCGAACCUGAGACGGCACAAGGCUGAUAGAUUCACUUAACAAGAAAAUCAAGAGAAGCAAUUAGAUAUAGCCUCGGUGUCCAUGUAGGGUGUGACCGGAUUCAAGCUCUAAACCUCCAAGUUAUCAAUCACAAAGCUCUGCCAACUGAGCUAUUCCAUUUGGACAGUGAGUCAUAAGCGAUGAUUCUGACUGAGGUCCACCCCAGUUCGACCACUGCAUGGGCAAAAACUUUAACCCUGAAUUCGAUAUGUCUCAACCGACAGGUUAUAUUGUACACCGACUCCGGAUUCGAGUUCCAUCAAAUGCAACUCCCAAGCGCUCCUUGCUCCUUGAAGUUUGCUAGCUAGUGUUAGAAUAUGUACGACCUUAGUUUUUUAACAAUUGCUAAAUAACAUAGAGGGUGAUGUGGUAUUUAUAUUAGUAAUUGUUAGAGAUGUAAAAUUUGUCACUGGCAUGGGAAAAAGGAAUAUCUUGGGAGUAAUUGAAGUGAAGGUGACAGAAAAGAUAUAAAGUUCUUGUGGUUUUUUUCAGAGAUGAAUGAUAAGAUAGAAAGUUUUUUGUUAUGAUUUAAUGGAGUCUGUCCAACCUUCUUCCCACAUGUGUGUAUGGUUCACAAAAGUCAAAUAUAUCAUAUAAUAUCUCUCAAGACACUUUGGAUAUAAAAUGUGAUGGAAGUGAAGAGAUUUGGAGACCUAAUUGGAGAUUUAUUGAUUUUAUUUUCAUAUUUUUUCGAUCGAUUUAUGUGAAUUUUUAGUUGGAUUUUGUACAUAUUGUGUUAGAUCAGGGAGUCUUGGAUUAUUUUGGUACUCUCAAGUUCGAACUCCAACUAGUAUAUGAUUCUACUUACAUCUCAUACAACUAAAAUGAUAUCGAGAAUGGAACACUGGAUUAUAAAGGUAAUCGAAAUCAAGAGACUUAAACAUUUGUUGUCAUGGAUUAUUAUACAAGAUGACUACUCUAGAGUAGAACUUCCAAGCAAUGGUAUUGAUUAAUUAUUUCCAAGGAUACAAUUACCACAAAUUAAGUGGGCAUAAAUAAGGAUAUUAUGCCUAAUUUGAAUUUUCAUAGUUACCAUUUGGAGAAUGUUUUCAUGGUAGAUCAACGACAAAUUUAUAAUAUUUCACGUAUUAAAUACAAAUUGUAUAUAAUUUAAAAUACACUAGACAUAACAUACAUAUAUGAACAUAACCGUAAUUUAAAAGAGAUUCUCCGAGAUCCGCCACCACCAGAGAAGGUGCAUGCAUGGAGAGGGACUUGUACACAUACUUUAUGUGGGGGCUUGUCGUUCAAAAAGGAGGAAAAGGGUAAGCCUACAUAGAGGGAAAGAUGAUUGGGCAUGAACGAUACUUGUACAUAUAACAAGUUAUUUUUUUCUUUAUUUAUCUAAUCUAUGAUAUUGAGAGGGUACCAUAACUAAUAACUAGAUAUUUGGGGGAGUGGUGGGUUGUGGAGUCCAUCUCCCAUCUGGGUGUGUUGUGUUCUUCUGUCCUUUUCCCAAUCUGGAUUGUUGUGCUUUUUCUCAUCAGAAAGAUGAACCAUCACUUUGUAUCUUGGAAAGUAUAAAGAAUGAUGGGGAUGGGGAAAGAUGAACAGAAAUAGACACCAACUCCUCUGUUCAUGUAGAAUAACUAGUUACAAAGGGAGUAUUAGAGCCUUUGUUAUGUAUUGGAUGGAUUGUGUAUGGCUAGGGAACCUUCAUCCUCGUAACUCGAAUUGAUCGAUCUCUUAUAGGGUGCGAACCCUUGUUUAUUUAUGUGUUCUAAACACGAGUAUUAGUUUGGUGUACCAAACAUAUCCGUGCAACUAUGUAAGUAAAUACAUACAUACCGGCAUAAUUGUGUAUCAAUCAUAGUUUUAUCAUGCCAUAUGAGAACACCGAAUAAGUUCGAACUCCAACUAGUAUAUGAUUCUACUUACAUCUCAUACAACUAAAAUGAUAUCGAGAAUGGAACACUGGAUUAUAAAGGUAAUCGAAAUCAAGAGACUUAAACAUUUGUUGUCAUGGAUUAUUAUACAAGAUGACUACUCUAGAGUAGAACUUCCAAGCAAUGGUAUUGAUUAAUUAUUUCCAAGGAUACAAUUACCACAAAUUAAGUGGGCAUAAAUAAGGAUAUUAUGCCUAAUUUGAAUUUUCAUAGUUACCAUUUGGAGAAUGUUUUCAUGGUAGAUCAACGACAAAUUUAUAAUAUUUCACGUAUUAAAUACAAAUUGUAUAUAAUUUAAAAUACACUAGACAUAACAUACAUAUAUGAACAUAACCGUAAUUUAAAAGAGAUUCUCCGAGAUCCGCCACCACCAGAGAAGGUGCAUGCAUGGAGAGGGACUUGUACACAUACUUUAUGUGGGGGCUUGUCGUUCAAAAAGGAGGAAAAGGGUAAGCCUACAUAGAGGGAAAGAUGAUUGGGCAUGAACGAUACUUGUACAUAUAACAAGUUAUUUUUUUCUUUAUUUAUCUAAUCUAUGAUAUUGAGAGGGUACCAUAACUAAUAACUAGAUAUUUGGGGGAGUGGUGGGUUGUGGAGUCCAUCUCCCAUCUGGGUGUGUUGUGUUCUUCUGUCCUUUUCCCAAUCUGGAUUGUUGUGCUUUUUCUCAUCAGAAAGAUGAACCAUCACUUUGUAUCUUGGAAAGUAUAAAGAAUGAUGGGGAUGGGGAAAGAUGAACAGAAAUAGACACCAACUCCUCUGUUCAUGUAGAAUAACUAGUUACAAAGGGAGUAUUAGAGCCUUUGUUAUGUAUUGGAUGGAUUGUGUAUGGCUAGGGAACCUUCAUCCUCGUAACUCGAAUUGAUCGAUCUCUUAUAGGGUGCGAACCCUUGUUUAUUUAUGUGUUCUAAACACGAGUAUUAGUUUGGUGUACCAAACAUAUCCGUGCAACUAUGUAAGUAAAUACAUACAUACCGGCAUAAUUGUGUAUCAAUCAUAGUUUUAUCAUGCCAUAUGAGAACACCGAAUAAGGUAUUCUCCCCUCUAGUAAGAUGGAGGAUCCUCCAUUUUGAGAUGGUUAUCACGGAUUCUAACCCAAUAUGACUUUACCUAAUGGUACAAAUCUUGACAUGUAUCGAAACAUCCCGUCUCUAGUACGAAUCCCAUUGUUUCAACUUAGAAAAAUCAUACACCCUAGAUCGAUGCUCAAAUUGUGUACUCUGAAUCAAUCAAUCUCUAGACUAAUUCGGAUUUACUAGUUACAUUAGACCGCUCGAGCAUAAAAAACUCGACAAAUCAUCAUGUACGUAACAAACGAUAAAAUCAUAUCAAUUUGAUGUUCGAUACACAAAUCAACCCAUUCGAUAUGAUUCGUCCUCCCUCAAGGAUACCCCCAACAUCAUCACAACGAAAAGGACAAGAACCCCCACAUCCCCCACCCCAUGAAAGCGAUGCAAAAUCAGCAAAACAACACAAAAGCAAAAAGAUUUUGCAGACAUAAUAAAUCAAAGACAGAGGAAAUACAGAGAGAAAGAAAUAAAAAAAAAAACAGAGAGAUAUCCAUUCAUUCAUCUACUUCCCCUGUUUCCAAAACCCAAUCUUAAACUUCCUCCAAAACUGAAUCAAAACCCAGAAAAAAACCAGUUACAAUGCCUAGAAGAAAUGCAACGAUCAUAAAAACUCUGUUCAUCUUCAUCUUCUUCUUCUUCACAGCAAAUUCCUUGAACCAAGAAGGCCUCUCACUACUCUCAUGGCUAUCAACAUUCAACUCAUCAUCAUCAACAUCCUCCUCGUCGUCGUCGAUUGCAUUCUCUUCCUGGGAUCAGACCCACCCGACGCCCUGCAAAUGGGAGUUCAUAACGUGCUCGAACGACGGGUUCGUAACCGAAAUCAUAAUCUCUUCCAUAAACCUCCCCACCACUUUCCCAACUCAGAUCCUCUCCUUCAGUAGGCUCACGACUCUGGUCCUCUCGAGAUCGAACCUGACCGGUUCGAUCCCCGGUUCGAUCUCGAACCUCUCGUCGACUCUGGUGGAGCUUGACCUCAGCUUCAACUCGUUGACGGGAGGAAUGCCUGCUGAGAUUGGGCUGAUGGGUAAUCUGCAGACUCUGUCGCUGAAUUCGAAUUUCUUGGAGGGAAAGAUUCCUGGAGAGAUUGGGAAUCUUUCCAAGGUGAGGAAGCUUGAGCUUUACGACAACCGGAUUAGCGGCGAGAUUCCUUCUGAGAUUGGGAAAUUAGUGUUUCUGGAGAAGUUUCGAGCUGGCGGGAACUUGGGAAUUUUGGGAGAGAUUCCUUCUGAGAUUUCAAACUGCAGGAGCUUGGUUUUCUUGGGUUUGGCGGAUACGGGUGUUUCGGGGCGGAUACCGGUCGGUUUCGGUCGGUUGAAGAAUCUGAAGGUUCUUUCGGUUUAUACUGCAAAACUGACCGGUGGGAUUCCAGCCGAGUUGGGUAAUUGCUCGGAAUUGGAAAGUUUGUUCCUUUAUCAGAACCAGCUCACGGGUGAGAUCCCUCGCGAACUCGGUUGGCUGAGAAAGUUAAGACGGUUGCUCCUCUGGCAGAACAAUCUGACCGGUCCGAUCCCUGAAGUUCUCGGAAAUGUGUCAGGUUUGGAAGUGAUGGAUCUUUCUAUUAACUCUUUGUCAGGAAUGAUUCCUUCUUCUUUUACCAAUUUGGUUUCACUGUCGGAGUUUCUCCUGUCCGAGAAUCUGUUUUCAGGAACGAUUCCUGAGUUUAUAGGAAACUUCUCGGGUCUGAAACAGCUCGAACUUGACAACAAUAAGUUCACCGGCGAAGUUCCUGACAGUAUAGGAAAGCUGACUGAGCUCUCAUUGUUCUAUGCAUGGAACAAUCAGCUUUCAGGAAGGAUUCCUGAAAAUCUCGGGAAAUGUUGGAACCUCGAAGCAUUGGAUCUUUCGCACAAUUUCCUAACCGGUCCGGUUCCCAAAUCGCUUUUCCGGCUCAAUAACCUGACUCAGCUUCUCCUGAUAUCAAAUAAUCUGUCAGGUGAGAUCCCACCGGAUAUUGGAAGCUGCCAUGGCUUGAUCCGAUUGCGACUCGGUUCGAACAACUUCACGGGAAAAAUCCCGCCCGAAAUCGGAAUCCUGAAGAACCUGAGCUUUCUCGAGCUUUCUCGUAACAACUUUGCGGGACAGAUCCCUCAGGAGAUUGGCAACUGCACUCAGCUUGAGAUGGUCGACUUGCAUGAGAACACGAUCCACGGCGUAAUUCCUGAAACCGUCGAGUUUCUCUCGAAGCUGAAAGUCCUAGACCUGUCGUGGAACAGGAUCUCGGGUCGGAUCCCACAGAAAAUUGGAAAGCUGACAUCUUUGAACAAGCUGAUGCUAGGUGGGAACUAUAUCUCUAGUGGGAUUCCUUACUCGCUCGGUUUCUGUAAAGAUUUACAGCUUUUGGACCUGAGCAGGAACAGGAUUGAGGGCUCGAUCCCAUACGAGAUUGGACAACUGGAACAGCUUGACAUCCUGCUGAACCUGAGCUGGAACCUGUUGACAGGUCCGGUUCCUGACAGCUUCUCAAACCUGUCAAAGCUCUCAACUUUGGACAUCUCUCACAACAUCCUGACCGGAUCUUUGACUGUACUAGGUAGGCCUGAGAAUCUUGUGUCCUUAAAUGUAUCUUUCAACAGAUUCUCAGGAUCUUUGCCGAACACCAAGUUCUUUCAGGAUCUUCCUCCCUCGUGCUAUUCAGGCAACACGGAUCUCUGCGUUGGAGGAUCCAACGACGAUUGUUUAAACAAUCAAAAUCGGUCACACAUAUCGAAGAAUUCGACCAGGAAUCUCGUCAUAUGGGUUCUCCUAAGCCUAUUCAUCACAUUCCUGAUCCUAGUGUCAGGAUUCAUCCUGUUUGUCAGAAUCCACGGCCCUAAUUCGUGUAACCACAAAGAUGUUGAUCAGGAAUCCUCGAUCGAGAAUUGGAACUUCACUACGUUCCAGAAGCUCAACUUCUCGCUCCACGACAUAGUCACAAGCCUCUCGGAUGCAAAUGUGGUCGGAAAAGGCGGUUCAGGAAUGGUGUACCGAGUUCAGACAUCUACAAAUCAGGUCGUGGCUGUGAAAAAGCUGUGGCCUCAAACUGUCAGGAAUUCUGACCCCACUCAGAGGGAUUUCUUCUCGGCUGAGGUUCGAGCAUUGGGGUCCAUAAGGCACAAGAACAUCGUUAGGCUUCUCGGGUGCUGCAAGAAUGGGAAGACUAGGUUGCUUUUGUUUGAUUACAUCAGCCAUGGAAGCUUGUCAGGAUUGCUACACGAAAAAGACGAAUUCGUCCUUGAUUGGGAAGCAAGGUACAGGAUUCUGUUGGGGGCAGCUCAUGGCUUGGCUUAUCUUCACCACGAUUGUACCCCUCCGAUCGUUCAUCGUGAUGUCAAGGCCAACAAUAUACUCGUAGGGCAGCAUUUCGAGGCCUUCCUCGCUGAUUUCGGGAUCGCGAAGCUCGUUGAUUCUUCCGCGGAGGGUUCGUCUGGUGUUUCCAACUCGGUUGCUGGCUCUUAUGGAUACAUUGCUCCUGGUAAGUAGUCUAAUCAGCUUUUGUUCUCAAAGUCUUUGCUUAAGUAUAUAAUUAACGACGUUUGUCAACGUUUGUUAAAAAUUAAACUUUCGGGUUGAGAUUGUAAGACCGUAAAAGUAAGUAAUGAAAUGGCUCAAACCUUUUACGUCGAUUUAAAAAAUUCCUCACCCUGAAAAUGGUCAACUAACCCAAAGGCUAACCCGACAGAUCAACCCCAAAGUAUUAGCUUUACAAUGUCGUUAGCUACAUGUAUAUUCACAGCCUAUAAAAAAUUACUAAUGGAAUACCAAAAAAACUAACGGCGGGCCACGAUUUAAAAUGUUUCUCAUAGAUCGUGUCAGACAAGUAAUUAUUUAGAGGUGGUGUAUAUCCGUAUAAUACGCAAUACUUCGUGCCAUCUUAGGGUUUUUUGCCGUAGUAAACCUACAUUAUCGAGUUUAUGAGAUAUAGUACCAUUAUUGUACAAAACUGAUCAAAACAUGUUCGACCCUUUUUUUGUCGAAACAGAGUACGGAUACAGUCUACGAAUAACGGAGAAGAGCGACGUGUACAGCUACGGAGUGGUCCUGCUCGAGAUCCUGACAGGAAAGCAACCGACCGACCCUCAGAUUCCCGAAGGUGGGGGCCACAUUGUGAACUGGGUCAACCGAGAACUGAGGGAGAAGAGAAGAGCGUUCACAACAGUACUAGACCAGCAAUUAGUGACAAGGUCAGGGACCCAACUGCAAGAAAUGGUCCAAGUUCUUGGAGUUGCUCUGCUCUGUGUCAACACUUCUCCUAAUGAAAGACCCACCAUGAAGGACGUUGUUGCAAUGCUCAAAGAGAUCAAGGACUCGAACAGCAAUGAUACAGAUUCUGAGAAAAGUAGUACUACUGGGAAAAGAUUGGUUAAUCAGUGUUCUAGCUUUUCUAGAUCUUCUGAGCCUUUGAUAAGGUCACCUUGAGUGAGUUACUUGGCUAGGGUUUCUGAGGGUACAUAAUUGAGUACAUAUAAUUUUUGGUGGAGUUUGUUUGGGGUGGGGUAAUUGUAUAGAAGUUAUGUAGAUGUAAGAUUAAAAACGUCGAAUUUUCGACUUCUUUAUCAAUUUUUUUUGUAUUGUAUAGGAUAUUAGGUUGUUCGCGUUAUGUGGUAAACGGUUGGUUAACCGUGUACAUUCUGUUCUAAUAAGUGGAAAUUGAAUUUUGUAAAUUCUUUUUACCGUCCCGUGACAAAAAAAAAGCUUGAGGGGUUGCCUCAUCACAGUCCUUACUUACCUUCCUUUCGUGUGAUGUACAAUUGUAAUUAUUUCUAAUAGUAAAGUUAUGUGUCAUUAUAGGUUUUAUCAACAAAAAUCGUUAAAAAAUUGUAAAAAUAGAGGGAAAUGUUCAAAAAUUUACUAGUAACGUUAAAUUUUUUAUUAGAAAUUGUUAAACCAUUCGGGAUGAUUCGCUUUUGUGAAUGACUAAUGGCAAUAAACUAAAAGUACGUACAACUCUUGUUUGGCUUCUCAUUUUGUCCUGCUUUUUUGUGUUCUUAGAUUCUGCCGAGAAAAAAGAAUCAAACCCGACAUCUGAAACAGAGCAACUACAUAUAUAUAUAUAUAAGGACGAUCGUAUGUAUAUAUUCAGCAAAUACAAAACAAAACUGAGAAAUGGCGACGAUCUACGACUUCCCGUCCUUAAUAAUGUUCAUCAUUAUGUGUAGCCUAAUUAUAACCAGUUACGCAGAUAUCAAUACGAAUCAUUGCGGCGCUCUAGGUGAUAACUGGGCGUGCAAUGUUGACUUGCUCCCGACCACAGAUCCAGUCGAGUGGCAGGAUGCGAUACUCCAAACUUGCGGCAAGCACCCCGGCGCGUGCGACAAUCGAACCGAGUUUGACUUCUCAACCGGUCGGACCAAAGUGUACUGCUACUUCUACUGCUACGACAGCGACCCGGAGGUGUGUCAGAGCUGUUACUCGUGCGUUAUCAAACGGGCGAAAGAGACAUGUCCCGGCGUUCGAGGAGCGGAUGUUCAUUAUUCGGGUUACUGUACGUUGAGGUACGAGCUUUACGACAUAUGUACGUAGCUCGAUUGUAUAGCGUUGAAAGUUGCUCAGUUUGUAGCAUUUUGUGAUGGCGAUUCUGAAGUAUCGGAUUCAAAAUCCAGUUGGCCUAUGUUUAACUACAAAAAAUAUAGAAACCGAAGACCUUAAUAAACGGUCCCAAAGAGGUAGCAAACAGUCUCUGUACUAAAACGGUCUCCAAUUUACCGUUGUAUGAAACAGUCACAAUUUUGAUUCAUUCAUCUAUAUCCUUACGUUAUAUAUUCGUUAGUUCUACGAGCCGAUUCUGAAUGCAGCUGAACACCGCUUCAGCAACCUAGAGCGGCUAACGGUCGAGGUUUUUACAAGCCAUGGUAGUAGCAUCCUUGGGUUGAUUCCUUUGAUAAAUGCGUGUCCCGGUUUGCAAACACUGCAAUUUUCUGUAAGUUUCUCCGACCAAUCUUGUUUCAAAAUGAUAGCUCGCUUUUUGGACCUGCCACUUAAGUUUUCACUGGCUGCAGUUUCAUACGUUCAACUGUGGGACGGCUCUGCCGCCGUUGGAUAUGGCUAAAGUACGUCGGGAUAGCAUCGAAGUGGUGGAGAUGGUCGGGUUUCGUGAUGCCAAGAUUUUGCGCGAGUUUAUGGAGUACGUGAUGGAAUAUUUUGUGGGGUUAGAAAGAAUAGUGAUUGAUUUUUCCACUACAUUCUUUUCCGACGAUGCUUGUUUUGGUCGUUAUAUGUUACCGAUGCUUGGUUGCUGCGAUGAUCAACGUUGUGAAGCCGAAGAGCUUAUAUUGGAGUUGAAAUCACGAGCAGCACCAACAGUUGAAUUCAAAAUUAUAAAUCCUCACCCAAAAAUAGAAGAUUAGUCGAAGGAAAGUUAUCGAUAUUUUUCCAGAAAAGUCAUCGGAGACUCUUCAAGAAUCACCAUAGUCGCCGGAGACUCGUUAAUAAGUUUUUCUAGGAGAUCUAAAUAGCCUUUUAUUUUUAAUAUAAACCCCUAGAUCAAUCUAAAAUUUGUUCAAGAAUCAACUUUUUAAAUCCAACGGUGUAUCUUUCCUUGAAUUCCUUGAAUGCAAUAAAUCCUUGACCCAAAUGGCAUUUGGGGAACGUUGACACCCAAAACGAUUAUCUUUUUCUUCAGUUAUUAGUUGGAAGACGAAUGUUUCUUUUUUGGGGUGAAGACUAUUGAUUUCUCCAAUCGGACUAGCAGCCGCGAUUGAAGGAAGACCGCCAGCAUAGCUCCGCCGUCGACGGCGCCAUCUCUAUUCUUUCCAAUAGGUUCAUAAACUUCGUUGCUGUUUGCAACUUCAGUUUCUAUAAAGCUCAAUUUUUUUACUGUUCUGCUGCUGCUGCUGCUGCUUCCAACUCAAGCUGCUUUCUUUCGUGGUAUUUGGAUUUGGUCUGCUAGUUGCUCAUGUGGGCAUAUGGAGAAUCGAUCGCUUUGAGCGUUUACAUUUGGAUUUGUGGGUUUAGGGUUGAAAAGCUUGGGGCUUUGAGCUGAUACUAGCUGCUGCUGGUAGCAGGGUUCAUUUGGAUACAUUGCCAGUUCAAUGAGCAAUUGAAAUCAAUUGAUUUCAAAUUUCGGGUUCUAGACAUUCAAUUGUAACAAGAUUGGAGCUUUUGAUCUCUUUCGCUAUUUUUGGAGGGGAUGUUCACAGAAGCUUUUUGAGACUAUGGAUAUAGAGCAAAUCGCUUCAUUAAGAACAGUGCCGUUCUUCUUCACAGUUGCCUUACUGUUAGCUUUACGGUUGCCUCGGAAUCUCGCCUCCGGAUGUGAGAAACAGUGGAGGGUUUGCGGUACUGAUCGAAUUGAGUUUUUGGAUGCUUUGGAUGUUCAAUUCAUUCUCAUCAAUGGGAAUGUUGUAGAUGAAGAUUCGUUAUGCGAGGCUCUCCAAUUUCACGCUUCCACCGGCUGCAUCUCUGCUCAAGAGUAUGAAGGGAUUCACUGCAGAUUGGAAUCUUUAUCAGGUAUGGAAAUUGAAAUCCUGGUUCUUAUUCUGGCUCAAGCAUUUAAUCUACUUAGGACCUAUUUGUUAAGUGUUUUAACUGUAUCUUGCAGCUAACUUACAUCCUAAGAAAUCAAGGAAACUUCUGCAGAAAGAGAUUCAGGAUGGUGAGGAUAGUGCACCGGACCACCGAGCGAAAGAUUCCGAUUCUAGUUCCUCAAAGCACAUAGGAGUAAUAGCAGCCGGAAUCGUUGCAAUGUGUUGUGGUGUGCUAUGCCCUUGUUUUUACAAGAGAAGAAGAGCAACUUCUCACACUGUUCUUUCCAAGGAUUCGGUUUCAAGUCAGUCUCGAAAAACCAUCUAAACUUCUCUUUGUUCAAUGUUUCAAUCAUAGUCUAAUCCGAAUGUUUAUUUGUUAUGCUUUCUGCAGUGGACUCGGUUUCUUCAAUGGGUUCUCCUUCGGCUUCUAUGCACGGUAAAGUGCCUCCUAGUCCGCUUCGUGUGCCCCCUAGUCCUUCUCGGUUCGCAGCCUCCCCGAAACUUUCUAGACUCGGUUCUGUUCAUGUCAACUUGGGUCAAGUUGCAAGAGCUACUCGUAAUUUCUCUUCGUCUUUGAGACUCGGCGAAGGAGGGUUUGGAACCGUGUAUAAAGCUUACUUGGAUGACGGGCAGAUUGUAGCCAUAAAGCGAGCCAAAAAGGUAACACCUUUGACCGUGCAAUUUGUACGAUUCGUAUCGAGCAGAUAAUCUAAUAUGGAAAAUAACUUGUUAUAGUUAUAUAAAAAACUAUACUUGGAAAAGGGCUCUCUAAUUUGAGUGGUAACUAGACGUUCUAUGAAUGAUAGGAGAGAUGUUAGUUCUUGUGCUGAAAUAGUGGCGGCACUCAAACAUUUUCAUUGCCAUAAAAUAACUAGUUAUAUUUUUAAAUAACAGUUUCCAUGCUAUAAAUUUUCACUAGCUGUCACUCUUUAGUCCUGUUUUCUUGGAUCUAAUUUUGCAAUAACAAUGUAGGGAAACUUUGAGAACUUACGAACAGAAUUCAGCAGUGAAGUCGAACUUCUAGCGAAGAUCGAUCACCGAAAUUUGGUGAAGUUGCUUGGCUAUGUCGACGCAGGAAAUGAACGCCUUCUCAUAACCGAGUAUGUAGCAAAUGGUACUCUCAGAGAACACUUGGAUGGUAUGAAGCUUGAACAAGAAGUUUCCUUUGCUUCCCGAAAAUAUCCAAUCCCUAGAAAAACUAAUCAUAUAUCUCUAUUGCAUCAUCUGGCAGGUCAACGUGGGAAAAUUCUCGACUUCAACCAACGACUCGAGAUAGCCAUUGACGUUGCUCAUGCCCUUACUUAUCUCCAUAUAUACGCAGGUACGUCUGAAAAAUUCAUACCAUUUCUUAUACGGAUCGGACGACUAAUGCAUUUGUUUAUAUGACAGAGAAACAAAUCAUUCACCGAGACGUGAAGUCAUCGAACAUUCUUCUGACUGAGAGCAUGAGAGCUAAGGUUGCUGAUUUCGGGUUCGCGAGGUUGGGUAAUGUGGACUCUGAGCAAACUCACAUCUCGACGAAAGUGAAGGGAACAGUUGGUUACCUUGACCCGGAAUACAUGAAGACAUAUCAACUCACGCCAAAGAGCGACGUAUACUCGUUUGGGAUACUACUCUUAGAAAUUCUGACUGGGCGUCGUCCUGUGGAGAUAAAGAGACCUCCUGCUGAACGGGUUACCCUUAGAUGGGUAUGCUUUCUAGUUUCUUUAGCUUCCUCUUCAUCUACUUAAUAUAAUGAAUUUAGUUUCCUUCAAAUCGGGUUGUGGGUUAGUCAGGUCGUUGGUUGGUCGAGUUAGUGGACCAUUGGACUGCAGGUUGAUCAGAUUACGAGAUAAUCUAGGUCGAUAGGAUUUACAAACCAGGAUGGAUUGGACAUGUCCAUUCGACUUAUUUAGAUUGCAGGUCAGCUAGAUCAUUGGUUCAUCGAUGGGCAUUCACAUUUGGGAUGGGGUUGGACAGGUUGGUUAGACUGGAAAGUAUUCAAAUUUUUAUGGAUAGUUCCGAGAACAAUACAUAUUCUUCCACCACCUGGUUACACACAAUUAUAACUGGUUAUGAAAGGUGGUCGGAGUCUCGCCAACGAUUAUAACUAGAUACAAACAACUGUAACACCCCAUAUAACUAGAAAUGCAGGUGGUUGUAACUAGUUACAGAGUUAUAGCUACUUACGGAAAUUUAUUAAUUUCCAUUUUGGUGUUGGUACUUCAUUAUGCAGGCGUUCCAGAAGUACAACGAGUAUGCGGUGGCAGAGAUGGUGGAUCCAUUGAUGGAAGAAGCAGUGGGUGGAGAUAUACUGAGAAAGAUGACGAAUUUGGCGAUCAGAUGCGCAGCACCGGUUAGAAUCGAUCGACCUGAUAUGAAAGCUGUAGGGGAAGAGCUGUGGGGGAUAAGAUCUGACUACCUCAAGAGCUCAAAGCUGAAGAUGGCACAACAAGUACAAUUACAACAACUUCAUGUGGUACAACAAGACUCCAAAGAUGCCUCUUCCGCCUUGUAAAACACUAAACAAACGUUGCAGAAUUUUUGUUUGCCAAAAGUGGUUUGAUGUUUGUACUUGUAUUCUUGUCAUUGAAGAACACACUUCACUGUGAAGUUUCUUCACACUUUUUUUUGUGGGAUUCGAUCAACUUGUAUAGUGUUGUAGCAUUGUUGUAACGUGUUUAAGCUACUCGGCUCUACCCUUCCUACCACGAACCAAAGUUGAUUUUCACGUGCACUUUUACGAGCUUACGUGUUUAAAGUCAUCUUAUCAUUUGGAUGAAAGUUUUGAUCCAACGGCGAGAAUGAAGCAAAAAAAGUAAAGGGUGAUUUAGUACUUUUGUUAUAUAUUAUUUCGUCAUAAUUUUGUUUUCAUCAUUUUUUAUACCAAAAUUUCAUAGACAUAUCAAACAAAAUCAGUCAUGAUAGAGUAUUGACAUUUUACAUAACAAUUAACGACGAUUUAAAUUGAUAUAAAUAUAGAUUGCAUGAUUAGAAUCUUCAAUUCAUGUAUACAUGGUCCCCAACCCAUUAUGCAAGGUUUAUCAGUCGCUUAUAAGAUAUGUGCAUACUUCAUAUUCGGCCUAAUCUUUCCAUAAAACUUACAAUAAUUGUGUAAACUUCACACUUUUUUAUGAAUUUCGAAGUUAAUUGGAUGCAAUGACUCUUUCGCGAGACUAACGAGUAAAAUUUUUCCGGAAACCAACCAACUCAAUAGAUUUAACUUAUCAACUGAUCACAACAUUAACAAGAUUUCAUACAAAAUUCAAAGGGGCAAAAAGGACAAACCCAUUAUUGCCAACUAGCUAGCUACAGAGCAAAAAGAAAUUAUUCAACGCUACUUAUUCACUACCAAAAUUGAAUUACACCACCAAAAUCAUUUCACUAUGAUUGGUAGUCGUCGACGGUCUUGCCCUCCGGCGCCGCAGUGUUCGGCGGCGGGCCCGAUGGUAGGAACAAUAGAGCUACUACCGCACUGCAGGCCGCCGCAAUUCCUCCGACCACGAACGACGGCAUGUUUCCGCCGCCGAACAGUGCGUCCCAUGGUCCACUCAGUAGCGAUACGAUCAUCUAUUAUAUCCCAGAAAUCACAAAAGAAAUAUUGAUAUAUAAAACAGGAACUUUUAAUAUAGGAAAUUAAUAUUGUACAUUAUUUUUUAUUACCUGUGGGAUGACUAUGGAGAUAUUCAGUAGUCCAAGUGAAAGCCCUACGAGAAAAAAAAAAGAGAAAAAUGAAAUAUGAGAUAGAUUAUUUGAAAGAAUUUAUUUAUGUAAAUUAUUAAUUAUAUAAGUUAAUUAAUUAUUAUUUUUUAUUAAGAGUUCAUUAUUUAUGACUAUGAAUUGAGAUGUACAAACAACAACGAUAGGACAACUAGGCUAGCGUAUCAUGAGAACAUGAGUUCGGAUAUGGAGCUAGAAAAUUUCAGCCGUUCAAAAAUUAUGUUUAGAUCUAACAUUUGAAAAUACGGGGUAAAAUAUAUAUUUUAUAAACAUACGACGUGUAUACUAAUACAAAUGUGUAUAUAUUUUUGUAGUGGUUUGUAUAAAUCUAUAUCCAUUUGUAUGAUCUGUGCUAACUCUUUGUUCAAAGUUGUACAAUUGGCUGCCGGAAAAUAUUUUCAGGAAAAAAAGUUCAGACGACGACAAUGACCACGUAGAUGUAAAAAAAUUCGCUAACGGUGGUCGAAAUUGUCAGGAAAUGAAUCAGAAAUUUUCUAGUAUCGGAAAUAGUGGUCUGAGAUCAGAAUAAGUGGUCCGACAAGCGAAGAUGGUUGGAUUAUGGUCCAACAAAAAUAUGUAAAUACACAUGACUAUAUUACCUCUAAUUAAUCUAGACAUUCAAUCUAAAAAAUUGGUAAAUACAACUAAUCUCGAAAUUUAGCUAACAAUAUGUAAUUUAUAAAGUAGUAUUACAAAGAUUAGCUUAAUUACCUUGACCUGCACCAGCUUCAUGGGAGAAUAUUGAUGCCAAAGCGUAAGGAACGCUAUAAGCCACCUGUUAUUAUUGUACAAAUUCAACAAGUUAGGUGACCGAUACGUAACUCAUCCCAACUAGAGUGAUCGGAAGUGUUAUAAACCGAUUUGAAAUGUAUGCAAAUCAAAUGAGAAUUCAAUUGGGUAGAGGGUGGACCAACUUACCGCAAGAGGAAUCCCUAAGAGCGCGAAGACGGCCAACGUUCCGACCUGAAUACCGAGAGGCGGCGGUAGAGCGGUCCCAUUGCUGGUGAAUUUUCGAGUGGAAUCGGCUAACUUACUAAUCAACAACGCCAACCCCAUACCAAUCGCGAGGAUGAUGUUCACUACCCCCCACAACUUCCCAGUGCCUCCGAACCACCGACUCAUCGUGUCGAUUCCUAGCGAAAUGUACCUGUAACAGAUACAAAUGUAAGGGUUGUUUAGUAAUUUCCUAACUGAUAAUAUUACUUGUUAUGUCUAUUUAUAUUGUUCAAUAUGGUAUCAGAGCACGUUUUAUUUUGCUUGUUCUCAUGUAUACCCCAUCACAGCGGCGUUAAUCAUCAACCCCAACGAUCCGAUAUGGACUCCAUGGGCGUAUGCUUUCUGCUCCCCUGGACUCCCACUCGCGGAUUCUCCGUCGUAAACUUCCCUCCCAGUCCAGUCAGUGGAGUAGAGGAAGAAAGGGAACCAGGCAAUCCAGUUGAUAGAUGUCAUCGCCAAAAGGAUGGCCAUGGGCCUCUUCAUGUUCUUCACCGCACUCGCCAAAUCCCCAAAAAACGGCACCCCAGAGCAUGUCGAGACUUCAAAACCGGAAUCCUCUUCGUCAAGGGGCGGCUUCUCGGUGAGCGGCUGCUCCUCGACAAAGUAUAGAGCGAUGACGGUGAAGAAAAUAAUCAGCGUGGCGGAGAUGAAGAAGCAAGUUUUCAAAUUCGCACAAAAUACAUCGCACGCUUUUGUCUCCGUGAAGGGUAACACCUUGUGGAUGUCGUUGAAGGAGCCGGCAGCGUAGCCGAGGACGUUGCCGAUGGCAACGAAGAACGCGAAAAAUGAGUUGGCGACACGAGUCUGCUUAUGAUCGGACCCAGAAAGAUCAGCGAGGAGGGCGCGGCAUGGCCCCAUCAGCACAUUGUUGGAGACGUCGAGGAUCCAGAACCCGAGGACAAAGAUCGUGAUGGCACGCGGCUUCAUUUCUUUAGAGAGGUCGUCGCCGGCGGCAUGUCCGAUGUCAGCGGCGUAUCCGAUGAGUAAGACGGAGAUGGCCACCAAUCCGACGCCGGUCCCGAUAAAGGGGCGGCGGCGGCCAAAACGGGAGGUGCACCUGUCGCUGUAGUAGCCGACUAACGGCUGUACGAUUAAUCCCGAAAUGGGCCCACACAGCCAGAUGAAACCGGCAUAAGCGUGGGGAAUUCCCAAGAGCUGGACGUAAGGCGUCAAUAACGACAGUUGUAAGGCCCAUCCGAACUGGAGACCGAUCGCGAUCGCCGCCACGAGGAUUAACUUGCGGUACGCAUACAAUCCUUUCAAUUUUUUCGUGAAAGGCUUGUUUUGUGACUCAUCCGGCGGCGACUGUUCGUUCAUUGUUUCCUUUUAUUUUUCUAUAUUUUCCUUUUUCCUAAGGAAUUUUAUUUUUCUAUGAAACUCUUGUUUUUCCUUCUCUCUUAUUCUUUUUUCCUGUGCACUUUUUGAAAUUUUUUUUGUAUUAUUCCUUUUUCAAUCGGCUUCUAUCUUUCGUUAACAAUCAAACAUAAAAAGCUUAUAAAGCCAAAAUCUUAUGCCGAAAUUAAGGAGGAAAAUUCGAUAAAAUUUUCAUAGCCUUUAUAAGUGGAGGAGAGACUCUUUCAAGGGAGAGAUAUUCGGAUUGUAUUUUUGAAACGGUAAAAUCGUCAUUAAUCAUAAUGAUAACGAUGAUAUUGAACGAAAAAUAUAAUGAUGAUAUUUAUAAAAAGUAACCUUUUAAAAAAAAUUGGACCGAUGUGAGUGGAGACGAUGAAUACUCGAUGUUGGGGUUCUUUGCUUCUUUUUUGGUAGAAAUGUAGAGGUUUAAUUAAUCAUAAGAACUGUUCGGAGGGAAAGAAACACCAACCAUAUUCUUUAUUUUUGGUUAUGGCUCAACCUUGUAACGCUAUCUUUCUAACGUUUUCUUCUCGUGUUUUAUGUACUUUCUGACGUUCAUUCUUCGAGUUAUUAAUAAAAAUUCACUUAUUAUGCAUACAAAAAAUAAUGAAACCUACUACGAAUUAAAUAGAAACUAGCGUAAAGCACUUGAUUANNNNNNNNNNNNNNNNNNNNNNNNNNNNNNNNNNNNNNNNNNNNNNNNNNNNNNNNNNNNNNNNNNNNNNNNNNNUAAAGUCGAUAAAAGAAAAUGUCCAAAAUUACUAUCAGAAAUUAUCAAAAAAGCAUGGAUUCCAAUGAAGGAAUGGAAACAAAUACCUACAAAAAAUCUGCGUUGCAUGCAUGGUUGUUUUUACGAUAAAUGUGUCAUAUCUCAAUACCGUGCAUUCUAUAUAGUACAUCGAUAUAUUGAUCUCUUAGGCAAAUUGUUUUCUGGAGAGGAGAUUGUAGAGAGAGGCUUUUCUCCUCCUUUUUUCUUUUCUCAUCAUUGUUGGGUUCUAAGUUAGAACUUUAAUUUCCCACUAAAAAGAUAAGUUUUCAACUUUAUUUCUUCUUUCAUAUUGAUAACCAUUUGAGGUUUAGAUUUGUCCAAAUUAAGGUUAUUUUAGGAACGGCUGACAAUUUCCUUAUUAUUAGUAAAAAUUUUAAGGUUAUUAUUAUCACGAAAAAUAUAAAAACGAAUCCAACCAAAUAAUAAAAAAUGCAUAUAUAAAAUUUAAAAAUAUAUGCCAACAGUGAAAAAAACGGAAUAUGUUCAUUAUUGAUUUCCUGUUGUAAUGUUCAUCGUUAUCAAAUUAAUUAGGAGAUGAGCGGCCGGAAAUAGCAUAAUUUGGAAUUUUGAAUUUAGUGAGUAAUAUAUUAAGAAAGUUGAGAUGUAGCGAUUUACAAAAACUUGAAAGUAUGAAUACUUCAUUUUGUAAUGUAUAUUAUAUUUUUUCAGAAAUAUUUUGCUAUACAUAAGGUUUAUAUAGGAUUAGUUGAAGGGAAUCUUACCCUUAUUAUGUAAUAUUAAAGCCCAGUUAACUAUGACUUGAUUUGCGAUGAAUUGGUACAUUGGACCCGACGAUCGCGAACCGAAAAUCUUUUAUUGUCCACCCUAAGCUAACAAACAGGAUUAAACAAAAGCAUCGAUAUGAAGAUCGAAUUACACAACCAUUAUAUGAUGAAUGUAUCUAUACUAUCACUAGUAAAAAAACUAUGGACUUUUUACGAUGCAUAGCAAAAGGUUUGAAGUCCGCACAGGUCUACCAAAACUUAUAUAAGUGAAUUAGCUAUAUUCUAAUAAAAUUUGAUGCUAAGAGCUCUAAGUCAUCAAAGACCUUUACCAUAUGAAGAAUAAUUAUGGGAGCGGUUCAUAAAAUUGGUUUAUAUAUCAUUUAUUAAGAGUUAAUGAUACGGUAUAUUAGAGCCCUUGACUAAAAACAGAGUGAUGGCUCCGAAUCCCGAUAACUCUCGUUGCACAAGACUUGCCUAAUUAAACUGUGCAAACUCCACACUGUUUUAUAAAACUUCGGUUCGAAAAGACAUAUAUAGUUAUUGGAACGUAAUAAUUCGUGACGUCUAUGAAGAUUUUGUAGUUGAUAGAGAGAUUUGAGUAUAAAAUGAUUAUAUUCCAAAGUGUUACACUCUUAGCCGGUGAUGUUACAUCAUACAACAACACUAUAUAUAAUGAAAAAAGGAGUACUUGUUGCUUAUGAUCAUAACCCAAACAAGAGACCGCCGUUUCCUGGGUGAUGUUGUUUCGGGAGAAAAUGAGAGGGUUAUUACUCGACGUCCUACCAUUUAAAAGUUUUUGAAUUUAAUUUUUUUUUAUUAAUUAUAGGACGUCUACAAUUUAAAAGUUUCUUAUUCUAGAUUAAUUUAAACUUUUUCUUAUGAAUUGUAGGGCGUCGAAUAAGAAUUUCGAAUAAUAAUAUAUGUGUGGAAGAGUAUUUAUAAGCUUGAGACUUUUCAAUUUUGGUGGGGGCUUUUGUUAGGUUGUUUUUUUAAAACUAAAUUUGUUUAAAAUUUAAAUGGUCGUUUGUCUCCAACUCCUAAGCCAUAAGUUUUUUUUGUCUUUUCUCUAUUUUGAAAUAUUUUCUCCCUUAUAUAAUAAUCGUUCAGUUUCACACAGUUAAACGGUAUUUAAUCAUUUAAAACUAAAAUAUUAUACCAUAAAAAUUAGUUAAAAGAUGGAUGGUAAAAAUUCCUCGAUUGGUGGGGCUAGGAGGGGGUGUCCAUGAGUUCGGAUUGAGAGCUUUUCAAGUAUUUGAAGUAUGUUUAAAAUCAUUUUAUCAUAAAUUUAUUUGAUGAAGUUUGUGAUCAUGGUCUAGGUGUGCUUGGUACGUUUGUUGGUGUAUUUGGCCGGUGAAUGUUGAAGAACAAUGCGGAUCGGAACAUAAGUAUUAAUGGUACAUGACAUCGACAACUAUGCUAUCUCGCCGUUGAUAAAGAGACAGAUUAGAGAGAUGGAUCGAUCGAUCCGUUACAAAUAUGUAAUCAUGUGCACUUGGUAACACAUUCUUCAAAUCUCCAAUCAUACACACAUACAAAAAAAGAUCCACUAUAGAACUACAUAUUCCAAAGGGCUACACUCUCAGCCGCUGAGGUUACAUCGUACAACACCACUACAACGUACAAAAGUGAACUUAUUGCUUAUGAUGACACCGUUUCUUCGCAUGUUUGAAGGACUAGGUUAAAUGAGAACAAUAACCAGUAAUCAUGUUAGCUUGGGUCACUCAAUGGAAUCCACCGACGAUGGCCGGUUUUCCGACGACCGAUUCAGGCGCCGGAGGAGGGAGCAAUGUCAGAGCUAGUAGCCCGCUGCACGCCGAUGCGAUUGCGCCGACGACAAACGACGGCAGGUUGCCUCCGCCAAAGAGUGAGUCCCAUGGUCCACUAAGUAUCGAUACCAUCAUCUGUAUACAUGGUAUAAGAAUAUUAAAAAUUUGGAUAACAAGCAAUAAUAGUAUUGUAGACGUUUUGAGCUCUAUAUAUAUAAUGGCAAAAAUAAGAAUAUUCCAAUAAUAAUUGACACCUUUUAGCUUGACAUGCCACAACAAUCAUAUAUGAUUUUUUAGAAGAAGAUAGGGUUCGAGUGAUUCUGGUCGAAAUUUUGAUAAUUAUUAUUGUUAGUUUCGGAAGAUCCGUUUAUGAGAAUUUAGUGGCAGAAUUAGUAUGGUAUGAAGCAAAUAUAGGAUAAAAUUUUACAAUCUUUAAAAACACAAUUGAUUAAAACGAUAUAUAAAAAUAGUAUUUUAAAAUCAAAAGAUUCUGGAUGGCUGUUUGGGGUUGCCUACCUCGAAAUCUAGCACGACCAACAUGAAAAGUUGUACACUUUACUCUGAGUAUAACAAUAUCAAGCGACUCAUCAGAGUUACAAGAUAUUUAUAAUCCGAGUUAAAAAAAGACUAAUUUUGUAGGGUUGAAAUUAAAAACCAUGUUUUAGAGAUUCCAUUUGCUUCCCUAAGUUUGACUGGACGUUUAUGCACUAGUGUUCGUUUUGGACACGAUCGCAUCAUGUCCCAAAGAAAUAUUAGAAAUUAGAAUAUAUGCCAGAUGUGAUGGUGAGAAAACUCAAGCAUUAAAUGUCAAUAUUUAAAUUUAAAUUUUACCUCAUUUUCAUUGAAAAUGUAGUGUAUAGACAAACAAUCAAUUUCACAUAAUUUUAUUCACAAAUUAUAAAUAAAAUUUUGUUAUUAGCCUUGAAGACAAUUAUAUUUUGACAUCUUCAAUGGACACAAACAAAGAGUUAUAUUUAAAGUAAAAAAAUAAAUUAAUCUUUGUUUUUGCUAGGCCCCGUUUGGAUGGACCACCAUGUGAUUGUGGACCAUGACAGUGGGGCAAAAAGGUAAUUUUCUAUGCAUGCAUGUUCUGUUUCUGUUAGCCUAAUAUACUUUAUUUAAAAAUGAUUAAGCAAUUAUUUACCUGUGGGAUGACGACUGAAAGAUUCAACACUCCAAACCCAAGCCCUGAGGAAAAAAUGAUUAAGCAAAAAGGUAAUUAGAUUUAGAUUUAAUCAUUUUUUUACGAUUAAUUAAUUAAUAUUCGUAGUAAUAAUUAAUUAACUCACCUUGACCUAUGCCGCAUUCUUGAGCGAAUAUCGACGUCAACGCAAACGGGACACUAUAUGCCACCUGUUCAUAAGUAAAAUAAUAAAACAAAAUAUUAAAUUGUCAGUCUGGAAAAUGUGUGUGAAUAAAAGUAUAAAACGACAGUCGUUUUCUUGAUAUGAAUGGAAUAGGUCAAACUUACCGCUAAAGGAACUCCUAGAACAGCGAAGAGGACGAGAGCUCCGGCUUGAAUUCCUGUAGAGGGUGACGAAGGAUGGUCGCCGCCGGCAACAUAUUCCCGAUUUGAAGCAGCCAUUUUGCUGACCAAAACAGUCAAUCCCAUGCAGAUGGCGAGGAAGAUGUUGACUAUGCCCCACAGCCGCUUGGCCCCACCGACCCACUUGCUGAGCAUUUCAAUUCCCAAGGAAGUGAAUCCGAGCACGACGGAGUUUAAGAUGAGCCCGAUUGCUCCGGCUCGGACUCCGUUUGCGUACACCUUGACCUGUCCUGGUGUACCGUUGGAUUCGCCUCCGUAUACUUCCCUGCCCAUCCAGUCGGUGUCGUAGAGGAAGAAAGGGAACCAUCCGAUCCAGUUGAGACACGUCACUAUCAAGAGGAUUAUCAUCGGCUUCUUCAUCGCCCUCACAGCUCCGAACAGUUCGAUGAAGAAGCACGACGGAGGUGGAGAGUUCAUGGAAGUAUCCAAUUCAUCGUCAUCGUCGCCUUCGCCGGCGAUGACCUUCCCGUCCGGUGACAGCGGUCGCUCUUUAACGAAGUACAGAGCGACUCCGGCGAAGGUGACGAGUAAGGUGAUGGAGAUGAAGAAGCAGGACUUGAGAUUCGCGCAGUAAACGUUGCAGGCCUCGGUUUUUGUGAAGGGGAAGAUUUUGUAGAGGUUGCUGUAACUACCGGCGCCGUAUCCAAGAACGUUGCCGACGGCGACGAAGAAUGAGAAGAAGGAAUUGCCUAUGCGCGUCUUCUUCUGGCUGGUUCCGGCGAGGUCUCCAAGGAAGGCACGACAAGGUCCCAUCAUCAUGUUAUUGGCCACGUCGAGGAUCCAAAAUCCGAUGACGAAAACAGCAAUUGCUCGAGGCUUGACGGCCUUCGUCAAGUCGUCACCGGCAGCGGCGCCGAUAUCGGCGGCGAAGCCGAUGAGGAAUAUAGAAACGAGGACAAACACAGUGCCGCCGAAGAUGAAAGGACGUCGGCGGCCGAAGCGGGAGGUGCAACGGUCGCUGUAGUACCCCACCAACGGCUGGACGAUCAAUCCGGAGAUGGGCCCACACAGCCAGAUGAAGGCUGCGUAGGUGUGCGGGAUUCCGAGGAGCUGCACGUACGGCGUGAGCAAGGAGAGCUGCAGGGCCCACCCGAACUGGAGUCCGAUUGCGAUUGCCGCCACGAGGAUUAUCUCACGGUAGGCGUAGAGUGCCGACGUGGUUUUGGUGGCCGGAGUUUGGGACUCCGGCGGGAGCUGCGGCGGGUUGGCGGCGGAUUUCAUGUCGACGUUGAGAGUCUUCAUUUUGUCGGUUGAGGAAAGUGAAGAAGAGUGUGUUGUUGUUUGUUUUUUUGGCGGGUAAUGUGGUUUGGGUAAAAAUGGAAGGUGCGUGGGAGGAUAUUUAUAAGCGUGGGAAUUUUGGUCCGGGAUACACGUGUAGGCCACCCAUUGGGUGUUUUUCAUUAAAUUAUUUUUUGCUUAAAUUUUAAAUGUCCGUUUGUCUUUUAACAGUUAGCCACGUGUGUUUUUUUGAACUUGUUGUGUAUGAGUUGAUAUGAAUGGUAGUUAACAUAUUGGAACUAAGCUACUGUGGUCUGAGGAGUUAGUUAUAGAAGGUGGACGGCGGUAGAUCAUCGGCGGUGGAUAAAGCCGGCGGCGAGUCUUGUAUCGAGUCCAGAACAUCUAGGUCGAGUGUGCAGUGUGCUAGUUAGCUACCAACUGCGCUUUACCACUUAGACAUGGUUGCUUAAGCACGUCAUGCGUAAAAUAACUUUUAUCAUGACUAUUUUGAUAAAGUUUAGUGUAACUAUAAACGUUAGCCGGUUUGGGGCAGUUAUUUGGGUUUCGGUCCAACCCAUCUCCGGUUCAUAGCUAUGGAAAAUAAGUAUUUUUAUGUAUGUUGACGAAUUGAGAUGAUAAUUUUACUAAUUUAUUCAAGUUACUGUUUGGUUUGACUCAAAUUUAUGUCAAAACAUAACAUAAUAUAUAUAGUAAUUCAAAAAGACGAAUUCUCCUUUACUUUCGUCAUAAUUACUAAUUAUUUUUUACUAAUUCGGAUCAUCUUGAAUUUAAUGAUUAUUUAUUAUAAUCCGAUAUAUUUUAUAUUUGAGUUAGUAGAAAUCGGCCAAGUGGCUCCAGUUAUGAGUCAACAACAAAACACGGGGUCAAUCGAAGGCGGUCAACUCUGCGUGAGAUAUUGAUCAGCCGCGUCCAAACGGCGUACCUGUAAAAUCUUGGCUAACUGCUUGUCGAGUCCACCAAGUAACCGAAAGAAAAAAAAAAGGAAAAGACCCCACUUCCAUUAGUCACUCAAAACCCGUCUUUCUCGACCGGGUCGAUCCGGUAUAUCAAGUCGAUCCUAGGCAUCAAAACUGACCUAAAAUGACAGAUCGAUUCUUUCAUUAAUCAGUUUGAAUUGAUCUAGCUAUUUUUUGACCGGUUUGGAAAUCGCAUAUGCUUUGGUCUUGGAUUUGUUGCCCGAUUAGCUGGUGGUCCAAUUAGAUCUCGAUCUGAAUCUCAAUAAUUCGAAUGGUCGAAAAUAACCCAACAAUAGGUCAAUGGUUUAGCAGUCGGGCAUAUGCGUACCCUACAAGAAGAAAACUUAAUAAAUUCAUUUGGAUAUUAGGUGGGAAAACACUACACUAGCAACUUAAAAGCCACUCUCGUAUCUUUGUCAAAAUAAGUUGACCAAAUGAUUAAUAAAGUACAAAUCAGGAGCGAGUAUUAGUUCGAAUCACACACCAAAAUCCAUCAAAACUCAUCCGUCGUAAUCCAAUUCAUUCAAAAGUGAUUGAGUUUGUGUUGCCUAUUUAGUCACCCGUCAAUGAGUAAAGGGGUUGGAAGAUGAGUUACCCGUCUUACCCCCGACCACUACUAUAUCCUUAUGUCAUACGAUAAUGUUUAUAAUGUUCCGUCAUUUUGUAUUAAACAUCAAUAUGAUAUUUUAAAAUUUUUAUAUUCUAUCAUUAACUCAUACAAAAAAAUUUACUAUUUGGUUCUAAAUGAUAUCUUCACAAUUUAAAUAUGCGUCAUCAACUCUUUAUUUUCGAUAUUGAAUCGAAUGUGAAGAUUUUUUUAUUAGAUGACAACUCACCUAACCCACAUAUUAUUUGUUCUCAUCCAUCCACACCCACCCACAUCCAACGAGCCAUUGGGUGUGGGUGAUAGAAAUAGUGACUUAUCAUGUUGAUAAGUGAGUUAGUUUUGACGAAAAAAUCCAACACACCCACCAAAUGCUCAUAUCUAGCACAAAUAAUCAUAUAUCGCGACCGAUUAUUCAUCUGUCGAUAUCAAAUCUAGAUGAUGAGAAAGGAAUCUAAAUAAAAGGAAACUUUUCGGUUAUGUUCUUUGCAUCCUCUUAUUUCUGGGCCGGCCAGCCUACCGACUAUACCGUCCCACUCAAUGAUUCAAAUCAUAAAUGGGUCUGUUGGGGGUAAUUUGGGCAUUUCCUUUGACAAAAUUAUGGCCGGUUUGGUUGGCCGAUAGAGACUCAUGUUAUGUACACAACUAUAUAUAUAAACGUGUUAGCAAUAGAACCAUUGAUGGCUACAUCAAUUGAAUUUCAAAAAUCAAACAUCGACCCACAUUUUAAUGACUUUAUCCAACAACUACCGUGAUCAAUCGGGCCCGAUCACGAUAAAAAGUUGAAGCGACGAAAAAAAUUUGAAAUAACCGGCUAGAAAUGAACCGGACCCGCUUGAUUUUGGGCAGUUAAGAAUCCUAAGUAUUGUGUGGAUGAGUACCGUAACGAAGUGAGAAUGUUUUCGACUUGAUAAACUUGAACUUCUUAAGCAAUGCAACAAUGAUGAAGAAGCAUCCUCUCAUCCAUGACACUUAUCCUUCAUGCAUUUAUCCUUUUUGCUUUAGGAUUCUUUCUUGUGUUAAGAUUCUUUGAUGGAUUAGGAAUUUUUCUAGGAUAAGAAUCCUUGUUGAAAUACUAGUACUCCUUGCUGGAAUAGGAUUCCGUGUGGGAUGGGGAAUCAUUGUCGAAUUAGGAUUAAGAUCACAAAUCCUUGUUCGAUCAGGAUUAAUAAGACUAGUUAGGACAUGCGAACUCUAAUUGGAUUUGGAUUGCGUGUACGACCUCAACUAAGACUCUUGUCGAAGUGACAGAUAUAGAAAACUUUCUUUCCGUUACGGCUCAAUAUAUCAAAAAUUUACAACCCAAAUCAUAUAUAAUUUUCACUAUUAUCAAACAAUUGGCAAACAUUCGACUUUUCAAUUGAUUGAGUCAAUCAAUUUGGCGACUGUUCGAGUGUGGUGAUCGUUGAUAUGCGGUCAAUUGAGCGGCACGGCUUAGGCACGACUAUACAAGGAGUGAUGAAGUCUUGAAUUCAAAAAAAAUCACUACAAAUUUUAACUUUAAAACUUACCGUAUACUUGAAAUUCUGUCAACGAUUUCUAACCAUCCUAAUCCCGCUAUCAUCCUGGCAACAAAAGAUACUCAUGUUUAUCUUAUGUUUAAAAUGACUUAUUAGUUUAUUUUAUCAUUACCUCAAACCUUUGCUUAAUUGCGAGUUUAACGUUUUCUUGUUUUUUCCUCUCAAUAUUUAGUAUUUACCUAUUUGGGCAGAAUAAUAUAUUAAUUUCACCAUGGAAUUAUUAUUAGUAUCAAAUAAUUAAGCACAUUUAUAGAAUAAUUAAGGUGUGAUUAGUUGCCAUCGUAAUCUUUGGAUCUCUAACUACACAUAGUACUAUUCCCAUCUAGUAUUCCAUUUCCACAAAUGGUGAUAUUUCGUCGACUAAACAGGAUAGAAAAAUAGUGGUUCGAUUUGGAGAACUCAUAUUUGGAGAAUCGAUCUUGGCGAGUUUGCCUGACGAACUAAUCUGUCGCGACCGAUCAAGAAUGAGAAAUGAGAAAUGAGAAAAUCAAAUGUAAAAGAGUGUUAGUAAGAGGGUGUUAGUGCAAACUGCUUGUAGGUAUACUGUGAAAUUGAGAAGUACGGAGAGAUGCUCUUUAUACGAAUUUGUGUGUUCAGCGGGUUAUGUUAUGUUGUCCUUUGAAUAUUGAUUCUUUUAUAAUACUCUUAUGCUUCGAGCUAUCCACCUUAAGACUUUUUAAAUUGUCUAGAGUUUUCAGCGGCUGGCUGAGUGGCGUUGAGAACUGACUCUUCAAAGGUACCUAGGCCUAACCCAUCAAAUACAUAUUGUGUGUACUAAGCAAUGUUGUUAGGAUUGGACUAGAUCGGCCGAUCUACCAAUAAGCCUCUUCCACGAGGGACAUGAGAAUCUAUUCUAAGUAAUAAAUUAAUGAUUGCGGGGGGAAAGGAUAAUGAUUCUUUAACCUGAGUUUUUGCAGGAUUCUUAGAUCAUAUUCAUCAGCUUUAACUCUGAAUUUGAUGCCAUCGAUGAGCAUAUUUCAUCCUUUCAAUGGCUCAUCAGUUUCCCCACAGGGUAGGAACUAUUGAAACAGAGUUCAUAUUAUCGUUUUGAUUUUUGCUCGAAACUGAUUAACUAAUCGAUUGAUCGAGUUAGGUUAAGUUGGACGAGUUUUUCGUCAACUCGAACUAGACAUGUUUUUCAAUUCAGAUUUUUCAAUCAACUCUGACAAUUGGUCGGGGGGUACUGGAUCAUAUUUUAACGGGAUGACAAAGUCGUUGUACAUAGAACCAAUAUUUCUCACACUCGAGUCGUUGAUCGGGUCAAUCAUGGACAUACGAGUCUCUCGAGUUGAGUUAAAAAUGUUUCUAUCAUUUUAGUUGAUUCAUGUCAAUGUUCAUAUUUAAACACUUGCAGAAAGUCUACAUUACAUCAAAUGAUUUUAAUCACGUGAGAAAAUUCAUGAUUUGAUAGAGUACAAACCGAAUCAACAACCCUUACUUUUAGCAUUUACAACAAUUCACAAAUUAAAAUUAUACAAAAUCAAGACAUACUUUAUUGUUCAUUAAAUAUUUUUUUUCCUCUUCUAAUUUAACUUUUUUGAUCUUAUUUAGUCGAGUUUUAACUCAAUUAUAUUAAAUUAAAUUAAAUAUCAACUAAAAAUAUAUAUUUUUAUUUUGAAGCAAUGAAGUAUGAGUAUCAAGUCGAAAUAUAUUACUAUCAAGUUAGUUCGAAGCAAGUUUGCGGUAGACUCAUAAUCAUUGGCUGCUUUAACUUGAUUUGGACAUUAUUUGGAGGGGUUAACAUGGUGAAACUUAGUUUUUUAGUCAUUUCCAACAUGCAUGUCAAAUAUUAGCCAAUUUUAUCCAUUCCCAACAUACACGUCUAAUAUUAGCCCAUUUAAAAUUUUUUAAAUUUCCCCUCAAAAUGUGUCUAUCUCGAAAGUGGGUUAACGUAUGGAAAUGAACCAUUAUGACAUGAAAAUUUUCAAAUUUUCAAAUCGGCUAAUAUUUGACCUACAUGUUUGAAAUGACUAAAAAAUCAAGUUUCACUAUAAUAACCCCUUCAAAUAAUGGCCAAAUGAAGUUAAAAACAUGAUUUUCAAGUGCGUGACGGCCUUCGGAAGUUCAGCGUGAUCUACUCCUUUAUCUUUAAAACUUCCCUUUAUAUUAUACAGUGACAAAUAAAUUUUUGUGAACUAGCAUAUGCAUAAUUAUAUAUAUCAACAUACUUCUAGCUUUUUGCAAAAAGUUAGCCAAUUUAAAAACUUUCAAGACUAAACAUAACACCAUUACCGUACAGUCUCAAAGAAAAUUUCGUUUCACUUCAUUUGACUAUUAUUUAGAGGAGUUAACAGUAAAACUUGAAUUUUUAUUCAUUUCCAACAUGUCCUGUCAAAGAUUAGUCAAUUUGAAAUUUUUUGAGACAUACUGAGAGCAAAGAUGGAGACGUGCCCGGGGGAGUCACCCCUAAUUCCGUCCCACUGCUAAUACCAAUUGACUAUGCGCUCGCUUCAUGUAAAUACCCGUAACGAGCUAGACACAGUCAUAUUGUAACUAUUAGUUUACCGCUUCGUACAAGUACCCGUAAUGUCUACAACCAUAAUGAUGUGGAAGUCACUUUCAAGCCACCAAAAUGUUAGAUAAAUUUUGUUUGGUAGGAGCAUGCAAAGGCAAUUUUGGGAUUGAUCCCUUUUUUCCUAAUGUGUUCAUUGUUUCUACCCUCUCCACCAUUCAUUGCCGUGACCACAGAAUCAGCAUGCAGAGAUGGAUAUAUCAACUGAUGAUCACUGUCACUAGCCAAGACUUUACUGACCAAGGUAUCAAUUUCCAUUAAGAUAGGCUGGUUUUCAUCCAUUCUUUGGAGCCAAUUUGGGGGAAUUUAAGCCUUUUUGUCAAGGGUUGUUUUCAUGUGUUUCAAAUUAUAUUCUUUGUACUUGCUUUCUAGUUGCAAAUUGGGCACCAAAAAUAAAGUGAUGUAUAGAAGUAGGUAGCAAUGGGGCACCUAGCUAGCUAGAUUGACAUGAUUACUAAAUGACAUCGAUUAGCUAGGGUUUUGAUCGAGCGCAGAGCGGUUGGGUUAUCGGCUAACACACCAUUUAGUUCGGUCACAAUGAUGGUUCGGCCUAAAUGCAAACGGCCACAAAGUACGGGGAAAUCGAGAGGGGAAAAUACAAUUAUUUUUCGAAUUUCUACAUUUAUAAGUGUGUGCUAUUUUCAGGUAUAAUUCCUUAUUGAUUUUGACUGACUACCAAAAUUGCAACCAAAGUGUUACAAUGACUAAUGGAUGGGAUUCAUGUUAGGUUUAUCCACAUUGCAAUUGAAGUGUUACAAUGACUAGUGUAAUCUUGUCGGUGUCGAAAAUGAUGUCGAAUUGAAUGAGCGGGAGGUUGAAAGGUUAUAGCAAGUAUCACAACUAAUUAAACUCGUAUAUAAACCAUCUUAAAUACUUUAUUAACGUUAUCCUAAACUCGCGGUUUAAUCAUGCCACCUAACCAAAACUAUACCCGGUUUGUGUGAUUGAGAGAUUCCAUCCUACCCAAAUCAAAUUCGUCCCUUUCCCAUAGGAGGUUUGAACUUUGAGCCCCAAUGUUUGACAGAAUAAUAAUAACAGUUUUCUAAGUGUUCUUUUUGACUCUACGUAUAACCCAAUCUAGAAGCUACUGAUCACCGAUGCUCGAUCGAACCGGUUAGACUAUAACAAACCAAAGAUUUACGGUUGUGAUGGACCGGUUUCGUCAAAAUAAAUAUUAUAAAAAACUUUAAAACGAUUAAAAUUGUCAAAGGGCGGGAUGUUAAAAUCGAUAUAAAAUCGGUGAAAAUGAAUUUAUUAUAUAUCUAAUAAUUUUUUUGAAAAUAUGAAUAAUUUGAUUGGUUGUUCAAGAAGAUUCCUUACGGUUCCACAUACAUUGAUUGAAACUUGUACGGUCCUAAAGCUUCAUCCUUUAGGAUAUCUUUUCUUUUGGACCCGAGCCAUGAAUUUGCUUCCGCAUGUAUAAUAGUGACUUCUCAAGAGGUUAUUUAUCGUUUUUCGUUUGAGUACAUUUAAUUUCAUAGUGUUAUAAAGAUUAAUUCGUCAUAAUGUCAAAACAUGUCAUGCCAGUUAAGUUUGAAAUAUUCUUUAUCCAUCAUUAAUCUCUCUCGUAUUUUUUCGAUGUGAGAUUUUACUAUAAUGUUAUAGUAAACUAUAUUUGUGACUCAACGUGACCUCUUAAUUAGGCAUUCCCACCGUCUUUCAAUAGAGAUGAGAAGAAGUUAUGGUACCAUGCACUUGUAAUAUUUCGACAAUGUUUGGAGAAGAACUUGUUUGUAAUUACAACAAUAUUAAUGAGGAAAAAAACAAUGUUUGUUUCAUCAGACACAUUUGGACGGACCACCAAUUGUCAGCCACCGUGGUGAUGGUGGCCGGUAGAGUGUAAUGGAUUCGAACCCAAAACCUUCUGAUCACCAAACACAUUGUUCUACCAUUAGAACAACUCCGAUUAAACAACAACUACUAUGACUUGAUAUCCAUAAUCGUCACCAACUUAUUGGGUCCAUAACAACCUGAUUAUCAACUUUUUUAAAAAAAUAACCUACGUACCACUAAUUUAUUUCAAUGUCGUCAACUUUUUUUUUAGAAAUUUUGUUGAGCGGGCAGAUCGACCACCAUGUGAACAUAUCAUUUUUUUCACGUCACCCUGUAAUAUGUUACAUGUAAUCUAUCAUAAAUCCAAUACAUUCAAUUAUAUAACCACUCUAACUCAACUCAACCAGGUAUAUGUAUGGUGGAAGUACACCAUACAAAAAUGUACGAUACAUUUUAAUAUAUGUACAUUUAUUAUACACCGUACACCUUAUUUUAAUAAUUGAGAUGAGUAGAAAUGUUGAGUUUAGAUAGUGAUAUGUCUGAUUAACGACGUUUUUGAAUAAAUAAUUGAUGGAUUGAUUAUGUUGUCACAAUACUAAGCCUAGCUAUGAUUGAUUGCAUAGCUAGUAUAAUACUAUAAUAAUCUCCUAUGUGAACUCGAACUUCCUAAGGGGUUGACCAUAUGUAAUUAGAGAUUUGAUGCAUCUAAAUUAUUAUUUUUUUAUAAAUUACUAAUUCUCAUUUUUCCAAGAUGAUCAUAUACGAGUGUAUAAAAUGCCCAUCGGAAGUAUAGAUUCUACAUGCAGAGUUGUAUGGAGCGCGGGUUACCACAAAUACGGCAACCUCGCUCAUUUCUCACUCGCAACGGACAACGGCAAAGGGAAAACAACAUUAUGUGAGAAGAAAGCAAGUAAAAUAACACCGAAAGAGACUAACUAAUGGAUGAAACAUUCAAUCCUUAUUAGGAGUUCACCAUGCGCUAAACCAAUAGUGGCUCCGUGCUCGAACCUUUUAUUCCAGGUCCUCCGACAUUUUGAUCGUGGGUACGCAGGCCGUCGAGGGAGCGCCGGUUGGUAAGUGCGAUGUCGGGGAGCACCGGUUGUCGGGUGCGGCGCCGUUGGAUCCGGGUGCCGGUUCCCCGCUUCGUAGGAUGGAGGUUGUUGGUCUCGCGGGACAGAGAUCAGAGGCGAGCUGGUUGGCAUCGGCUGCUGGCCUGACGGGGGAUCAGAGACGAUGAAGGCCGCAUGGCGAUGAUGGCGGUGGUAAUUGGUGGCUAGGGUUGCGGUUUAAAAAACUCUUCAAAAAAAGGCAACUAUCUCUUCGAAAGAGAACAACUAGACAACACUGCAACAAGAAAUCCUUAUAAUAAUAUUGAAUAUAAUUAUAUGGAUUGUUUGUUCUAUCAACACCUGUAAGAUAACGACGGAAAGAUAUAAAUCCCUAGUUAAUUACAUGGGAAUAAUUGGUACUAAUCAUCGUUAAUAUGUAGCUAGUUAUUAUACAUUGAUCUAGAAAACCGUACAAACAGACGCCAAAGAAGUAACAGUAAUGACAUUUGGUUCAACCGCUUAAUGCAUACGUGAUUGGACCAUAGUUAUAUCAAAAUUAUUAUGGUAUUAUUUUGACGAGUGGUUCAAUGUCAAUUGAUCAGACCGUUUUUACCAAUACGGAUAUUGAAAACACCGAAGCAUAGGUGGUCAAGUGGAAUGUAAAUAUACCCAAUGGCAUAUUUAGGAUUUAAGUUCAGGAGGGUUGCUCGAUAAAACAAAAUACUAAUGGGUCGUUUGGAUAAGUGAUUUUGAUGGGUGAUUUGAGGUGAUUUGAAUUUUUGAAAAGAUUUUGUCUCAAAUAAUCCGUUUGAAACAUAACAAAUUGGGAAGAUUUGAAAUCACCUUACGGAUCCGGAGAAAUUUUUGAAGGUGAUUUCAAAUCACUCAGGAGAAGUAGAGAUUUCGGAGAAGAGAGGGAAGAUUUGAGAAUUUUAACCAAUAUUAUCCCUUAUUUCCUUUGGUAAUUGAUACGACCAUCAAUAAAUUGGAGACAUUUUCGUAUUUUAAUUUAUUUUUAUUGUUGUUAUAAAUUUCAUAUUAUCAAAGUACAAGAAAGAUUCAUGUGUUAUAAAGAAAAAUCCGAUCUUAAUCGAUAAAACAUGUUUUGGGGAUGUAAUGGCCACUUCAGAACUGGUCGAAUCAAAUCGACCAAGUGAGUGUUGGCCCGUUGAAGUCACGUUGAAUCCACCAAAUAUCAUUUGGGGAGGGGGGUGAAAGGAUUAAUGUGUUAUAGGGAACUAUAUGAUCUUAACCGAUAAGACGUAUUUUAGAGGUGUAAUAAUCGAGUAUUUAUAAGAAUUUUGAAGCAGGAACCAGUUUGAAAAACCCGAUCUUAAUUGUUGGCCAUGGUUUGAUUCUUUCAUUUAAUCCUAUGUAAUAUCCAUGGCCGUUGCAUAUCCAUUUCGAAUCGGGUAUUGCCCACAUAAAAACCGGGCGAAUCAAGCCGACCAAGUGUGUGUUGGCAUGUGGAAGUCACUUUGAAUCCACCAACAUAAUGGGAGAGAAUCACAAGUGAGGAAUCUCAGUGUCACUAAUUAAUCAUGAGGCUUUUAGACUUUUACUGAUCAGUACCAAAUUUCAGUAAAGUUACAUUUUGUUAGGAAUUAUAUCAUCAUCAAGUGUUAGAAAAUUGUUGAUUAAUUCAUUAAAACACUUGUGUCUAUGAAUAAUGUUAGGUAAACUAGCUAGGUACCAUCAAUUUCAGGGUUUUCAUGUUUUUUUACUGUCGUGGUCAUGCUAAUCGAACCGAAACGAAUUAGGUUAUCGACUGAUAAGCGCUUGGUUUUGACCUCAUAUUCAUGACCGUGACCAAAUCGAUAAUGAGCCAAACUCGCUUUUGUUUUAGCCGUAUCGAACGAAAAUUAAUAGCGGUACUUUUACCCUCUUUUUUGCCUACACUUAAAAAAGCUGGAAAUCGAAUCGUGACUAGCAAAAGAAAAACAUUCACGGUUUCGGUGGAGAUAGUGGGUUCGAAUCUUUAAAUUAGUUCUUGUUUUGUGUGAACAAAAUUUAAUUUAGUAGAGAUCCCUGAUUUCAAAACCAAUUGUCACCAUAACGGUGACAAAAUCGAGUUGUGUGUGCUCCAAAAAGGUCUAACCUACUAUUGGCCAAAUAUGGUUCCUUAAAAAACCCCAGGGUUUACAAACGAGUUGUGUACUCCGAGUCAAUUGCUCUUUUGACCAGUCUGAUAUUUAGAGAGUCGAGAUCUACCAAUUAGUGAGCUUUCUCAAAAGCGACAAAUGCGAUGUGGGCUGGAUUCCCGCGUGUCUCCAUCGACCCAUACUUGGCUUAAUCCGAGUAUGUUUUCGGUUAAACCAACCCGGAUUCCCAUCCCCACCAAAUUCAACUCAGAAAUGGAAAUAUCCCAUCAUCAUGGAUCCAAUUUGGCAAGGAAAGAAUAGACAUCACCAACAAAAUUUGAAGUACCCAAUCAAAUAACAACAUCAAGUGGGAAUAAAACACCUAGCAUCAUUAUUGUAAAACUUCAUGUACAAAAGUUGCAUAAUAAUGGGCAAAUAAGAAUAUACAAGCAUAAACCGUUUAAUUAGAGGCUUAUUUUCCAUGUCACAUCAUUUUUUAAUAACGAUACUUGACGGUGGCAUCAUUAUAUGUGAUGGCGGUGGCUAUCGAAGGAGCUUUUUGAAGGAGUUUUAGGACAAUUUUUCGAUUUAUUUAUGUAUAUUAUUAUUGCACAUUACCAUACUAAUUUUCUUUGUCUCGUUUCAAUUUUAUUGGAUAUCCCAAAAAAACACAAAAAGGAAAAUAAAAAGUUCAAUGUUCGUUAUUAGUAGAGAUUUUAAUGCCACAUUAUCACAUGUUACAUAGUAUGUUUUCGUUUAAGAUUUAUAACAUCUAAUACCGAUGCCACGUGUCCAACGAACAAAUCCAAGUGUCGACUAUAGAUUCAUCAUCAUAAUCAACUAUGUUUAAUGUUUGCCAGGAAAGUAUAAACUCCCCUAAACUAGUCAUGGAAUUGUUCUGACGAUAAAAUUAUGUACCGAAGAUUUGGAGGUCAUGACUUCGAAUCUAAUUACACUUUACACAUAAACACCUACGUAAUAGUCUUGUAAUGUUAAAACGUGCUGCCACUUAAUUAGGUUCUCUAGUGGAAAUCUAGGAUUUUCCAGUGGGAAGCCAAUGUCCAAAGAACAAACACAAGUGCUGAAUAUAGGUCCUUCACCAGAAUCAAACAUGUUUUUUUACCAAGGAGAAGUUAAUUAAAAACGUGAUGCCACUUAAUUAGUGGUUGCAGUUGACAACAACUUUGAAUCAGGUUUGAAGUACUGAUUAAAUAUUUAAUUAUUAGUGCUCCGUAGACAUAUGUUUCUAACUAGCUACUCGUGGAUUCGAAUUGCCUUCACCCCUCGACACGACAACUUUAUCGCUGAUUGGGUGGCAAGAGCAACGUGUCGCGGAUAAUUAGAAAGAUGUCACUGAUAACAACAUAGUUGUGAACCUGGAAUGCUUUUGUUUGUACUAUGAUCGUUAUGAAAUGAAAUUUCGGUAAAAAAAAGAUUAAAUAUCGCACCAGAUUGCUGAAAAAAAGGAGAUGAGAUCAUACAACUGUUAUUGUUGAAUAUGGUCACACCUUGUAGAAAAUUACCAUGAUAAUUCCUCCCUAUCAUCAUCCCUAGUUAAUGGUGGGUCCGGGCCGGUUCAUGUCCCGGUUCACCCUUUUCGUGCAUCCCUAUUUCAUGGUGGGUCCGGGCCGGUUCACCCUUUCGUUCAUCCAUAGUUUGUGGUGGGUCCGGGCCGGUUCACUCUUUUCAUGCAUCCAUAGUUCGUGGUGGGUCUGGGCUGGUUUGUGUCCCGGUUCACUCUUUUCAUGCAUCUAGUUAGUCAGACCAGUCCUCUAGUUAGUCCGACUAGUCCUCGAUCUAAUGAUCUAAGACAACUCGAGAAGAAUUCCAUACUUCUCUGUUUUUCUACCCUCGUACAUAUUUGAACCCCUCAAGAUCUCGGCUCAUCGCGUAUCAACCUGAACCUUAUGACCGAAGACAAAUCGUUACUCCUUUAUUUCAACCUCUUAUAAACAUGUUAUCUAACCCGUACCGAAUAUUUAACAGGCUAGAGACUACCGUUGUGAAAUUUCGGUUUGGUACUUAAAACCGUAAUGUGACUACCCUGCUCUUAUUCCAUACAUCAUUUUGAAGACUAUCUAAUGGCAUUGUAAGAGAGCUCAAAGAUAAAUCCUAAUAUCAUGGCUUCCAAAAUUUUAUCGCAGAUCGAACCGGUGAGCCGGUGAGGUAUGAAGUUCAAUGCAAACCACAGUACAAGAACACUAGUCCGAAACGACUGACAAAGUUCAUAUUCUUGUAGGUGGAGUUCCUUUUCCAAAAUCCAGGCUAGCAUAAGAGAAUUUCUCUCUGUUCCUGAUUUAGGCUUUGAAAGAGAUAGCCAUGAGCAAACAUCCCACUGAUUCUCUGAGAACCAUUUGACAUCUACUUUGAGUAGCAAAACUCAACUCUUGCCCUUUGGAUUCUGCUGAAGUAAGAAAGAAAAAUUGACACAUUGUAAGAUGGUGACAGAACACAGAAGAAUAAAGCUUUUCACUUUGUCUUGUUCCAGUUUUCCAUCGAUUCUAAACCAGUUUGUAACUGCAAAGCACAAACUCUCUGAUAACAUUUCAACCUGCAGAAACGUGACAACCAGACUAUGUGUGGCUAAGAGAUACCAGUACAGCACAAAAGCUUAAGAAGUGGGAUUCAUGGCGGUCAUAUCAGCCUGCAGCUAAGAGUUGCUUUCCUGUACUUCACUACCUGACAAGGUUUUACCAACCACAGCUAGAUUCUAAUGCUGUUAAAAUCAAUUUUUCCAUGCUAAUGUUGUAAGUCCUUACUUUUGUGGAUUGCAGUUACAGGGUAAGUAAGGGAUGGCAAUGUGCGGCUUGGAUGCAUCGGAUGGCUGACAUACUCAGAGCGAACCCUCUUAUCCCAGUCUCGUUUACACCCCGGAGUCAUAGUACUCUGCGGACAGAGUUGCCAAGCCAGCAGCCUGCGAUUGAUUCUCUUCCGACCGAUUGGUUACAUUGUGCUUACUUUUCUGAUCCAAAUUGUAAUGUACCUUUCCAACCACCUUGAUUUAAUGAAAUGAAAUGCGAGAUUUCUUUGUCAAAACAAAAAAAUUAACAGGGUAAGUAAAAUGAAGAUCCUAGUAUUGGUUCUGUAGAGCAAAAUCUUGUAUAAAUGAUAUCAUGCUUGCAUCAUGUUGGCAUCAAAAUUUUCGAAAGUUACCAGCUAAUCCAGGAUGGUUUCAUGUAAUAGACCAAAUUCACAGAAUUUGGGGAUGCAGUGAGACGGAUUUGAAAAAUAAAAUAAAAUUGAGACAUCGAAAUGCUAGAGAAAUUACUAAUUCUCGAAGGUCUGGAUCCGAGGUCAAGUAUGAUAUACUGCCUUCCUCCAAACUACUAAUUGUGACCAUUGUUUUCAAAACCGUACCGUACCAGACAUUUCAACUGCGAGUCUGGUCAUCAAGCCAGUCUGGUACAUUCACGGGAUAUCUUAACGGUUCAACCAUGAACCACAUAUAAUUAUCGUUACCUGGGUUCUCACAACCAUGAGUAUCACCAAAAGGUGGGGGUUCAAUAAAAGUGGGAGUUACCAAAAGGCAGUAGGAAUUACUGUGCAAGUUCUGUAGAAUUAAAAAACAACUAGGGGUCUUUUGGAUGGGAUAUUUUUAAAAAUAUGCGGUAUUUGGGAGCAUAAUGAUGCGUUAUUUGAAAAUGUGGUAUUUAUGAGGUGCAAAGAGCUUGUGGCGGGAUGGUUUCCAGAAGAGUUAUUUCGUCCAAAAUACCUCACUCAAAUAUUUCAUCUAAAUGACCCCUAGACUAUAGCAAAUUUCUUUCCAUGCUCUCAAGCUUAUGUAAGAAAACAGAAUUUGAUAAAUUAGUGGUUGUUUUGCUGCCAAACUUCCACUGUUAUUGCAGGCAGCAAACAGCACUUUGAAGGUUGAGAAUAGUGAGUGGACAUCGCUGUCCACAAUCUUCUACAAAGUGCCUUCUCAGCCAUCCAAGUGCUGUGGGGCUCUCUGCCAUUUCCCACACUAAAUGAAACUUCAACAUGGAUGCAAAUUAUUAAAGGGUUGAGAAGUGGGGACGAGGAACUCCAAAUUCUUGGAGCUGACUUCUGAGUAAGGGGGCUUGUUACAUCGAAACAUUCUUGCGUGCUGCUACGAAAAGCUAAAUGAUAUGUAUCGAGAUCAAACACAUUCUCUUCAGCAACCGCAUUCUUUCUUUAUAAAAGGUGACGUGAAAAUUGACAGGAAACUUUCUUAAGAAGGGUACAUAGCACUUUCUGUGGCGUUAGAAAUUUCCAUACAGAAUGUUACAGACUUACAGCGACGUUGCGUUUCAUGUGAAUCACAUAGAUGAGUGAUUGCAGGCCAUGACAUGACAAAAUAAUGUCCCUCUCGGAGCCACGAUGUACAGAGAUCCCCAAGAGAUGCAUCAAUGUACUGACAAGCAAAACAAAGGGAUUGUCAAUACGAAAACGAAAUAAGGGUGGCAAAUCAUUGGAAAGGGAAGACAUGUUGGCUUUGCUUUCUCUUGCUUAAAGUCUAAAUAGAUGGAUAGUAAGUUAGUUCUCUCCAUUUUUUAGGAGAACUCGUUGGGACUGAUUCGCUCAUUGUUUGUUAAGUCGUAACUUCCUGCUGUUAGACCUUGUAUUGGAUAUUUUUUAUAAUGGUUUUAUAACUGAACCUGUUCAGUAGCACUACUUUACUCUAAAAUUUGCAUAUCCAUUUUACCUGGAAUGAAGUUGCUGACUGACUGAUUAUGAGCUUAAGGAAGUUUUCCGGAAAUGACACUAAAGAUUAGUUUCAGGAUGCCACUUUAUGCUGCACCCAAUACUUUGAAGCCAGGGAUAACAAUGGGUUUAUUAGUUCAGAAAGAUCAAGUAAAAUAAGGAGAUAUCUGACAUAAGAAUAGAAACCUAAUUGAUGACCAUACCUUGGUGUCUGAACAGAUGGAACUGGCUGCCCACUGAGAACACAGUCUAUUGCUCGGCUUAGGUCCCUGGAAAUAGGAUUAUCAAACAGAGUUACAAGAACAACUAUUAAUAUUGUCAAUAUUUGGUUAACUCAUUCGCUUGGAAAAGAAAACUAUUACCUUCCAGUUAUAGGCACAUUAUUGUUGGGUCUGGAGUCGUCGAAUUGGCCAUGAUAAACCAGCUCAAAUGGUCUCCUCCCAUCCUGUAACAUUGAGUUCAAUUUAGUUAUAUACCCAAUCCUCAAAUUGACCACGCGCACAAGUAAACAAUGCUCACCUUUUUGAACAAGAAAAACUCUGGUGUACAGACAGCUCCGAAAGCUCGUGUAACCUCUUGGGACUGCAGUUGAGACGCUUCUAAUUUGUUAGUAGUGUGAUGUAAUGUAAUACCGUUAGCACUGUGACUUGUGAUUAUUAAUCGAUGACGCAUACUCAGGAUAAUGAGUGAUGAUCAGUUUGGAUGCCGAUCCUAUCGUACUUUGUAUUUACUGUUUCAUAUUAAACUACAUAAUGGUUACACUAUUUCUAGCAUCAACCACACAAACACAAUCUACUGUAUCUCCAGUAUUUCUGAUCACAUCACUCCAUUACUAAUGACUUCCGUUUCAUAGCAGCUGUUCAAUCAUGGAUAACCAAACAAAGCGUACAAAUACGGAAACAAUAUGCAGCAGAAAACCCAAUAAGCAAAGUAUUAAAGUGAAAUCCAGGACAAAAAUGGCACACACAUACCUCAUCGUACAAAUAAGGAAAUGGAUAGUUAAACAGUUUUGCAUCUUCAGCCAUGAAUUCUGGCCCAUCCUGUGAAGAAAAAGUUCCACAUAGGCCAUGUCAUACGGUAGCUUCUAGAUAUAUCUAGUAUGAAACAAUGGGAUCGCUGCUGGAACCUGUGGGUGAGUAACUACAGAGUUCGAUGAUAUUGCAACGACAGCAAGCCCUUUCUGCAGCAUGAUAGAGGAAGCUUUCAAGUUAAAAUCCACAUCCCUUGCCAAAUGACGAACAGCUUGAUAUUAUAGUGGAUUUUUUAGCUACCUUCAUAUAGAGAUUUGAAAGGUCUGUUAUAACUUUCUUCAAAUGCUUAACAAAUGGGCAGUGGUUACAUAUGAACAUAACCUGGAAAUAGCAUGAAUUAUUAGCGUUCAUACUUCAUAGAUCCUAAACCAAUAUACAUCCAAAUCAUUUCUACAUGCAGCAACCCAUUUCGAUCGCCCAUUUCAAAUACAUUCUUUUACAUCUAAGUACAAUGUUCAUAUGUUCAACCGGAUUAACAAUUAAGGAAAUAUUCUGACCGAGAAACAACGGAAGAAAAAUUAAGACUAAAAAAGCAAGGGGGAGCUACUGUUGCUUACUGUUCACGUGAACAGUAACUUCCCAAUUACAUUUUUAACUCCCAAUUACAUUUCCUAUCUCACAUUUCCUUUCUUUUUGGAACAAUUAAGUUCACAUCUAACUAGACACCAUCCUUCUUCUUUUUUUUUUAACUAGCUCUCUUUUUUUUUAUCAUUAUCUAACUAAAUUUAAUUAAAACAUAUCCUCUCUCAUACUCUUUUUCCCUACUUUUUAUUUAUAUAUCUAUAACUUUCUAUAGAAUGUUCAAAAAUAUUUUUGUCCAUAUAUAUUGUUUUGUUAUAUAUUUUCAAAUUCAAUCACGAUAUGUUAAAAUUUUUUGAGAAAUGAUUUUAAUGUCGUGUAAACAUUAUAUGUGUGUUACAAUUUGAAAUUUCAUGAUACUACACUAGGAUAACAUCAAUAUAACAAAUUGUGUAUAUGUAAAUUUAGAUAUGAAUAUUGAAGUAUCUGCAUCGAAACCGAAUAAUCAACAAGCUCUUAUAGAAAAUAUUUUUCUCAUGAGAUAUUUUUAUAUUCAGGAUAGGUCAUUAGUUUACUUUUAUAGGUCGUAAAGAAUAGUAAAAAAUUCACAUUAUGUAAUUGGACUAUCAUUAUAGUGAUAUAAAAAAUUGAAAUGCUCGAAAAAUAAUGAACUUUGCCGAUUUUUUUCCUCCCCAAUUCAAUUAAUUUCCUCUGCCACUCCCAUCCCUUCGUUUGAUCUCGUCUAGCAGAUCCACACUUCCUCUUCAGCCAAUCAAANNNNNNNNNNNNNNNNNNNNNNNNNNNNNNNNNNNNNNNNNNNNNNNNNNNNNNNNNNNNNNNNNNNNNNNNNNNNNNNNNNNNNNNNNNNNNNNNNNNNNNNNNNNNNNNNNNNNNNNNNNNNNNNNNNNNNNNNNNNNNNNNNNNNNNNNNNNNNNNNNNNNNNNNNNNNNNNNNNNNNNNNNNNNNNNNNNNNNNNNNNNNNNNNNNNNNNNNNNNNNNNNNNNNNNNNNNNNNNNNNNNNNNNNNNNNNNNNNNNNNNNNNNNNNNNNNNNNNNNNNNNNNNNNNNNNNNNNNNNNNNNNNNNNNNNNNNNNNNNNNNNNNNNNNNNNNNNNNNNNNNNNNNNNNNNNNNNNNNNNNNNNNNNNNNNNNNNNNNNNNNNNNNNNNNNNNNNNNNNNNNNNNNNNAAUACCCCGGUGAUCAACCGUAACAGCCUAACAUGACUAAGCUUACGAUAAUUUUGUAGUCGAUUUUAAAGUCUUGAAACCACUACAUAACCUGACCCAAAUUUAUGAGACCAAUUAGGUAUUGACAUUAACAUUAAGAGAUGUGUUAAUUUUUUUAUAAUUGUCAAUGCACUAAUUUGGAGACAUAUAGAUAUAAUCAUUUAAUUUUAUUUAAUGACUACGCUCAUAUAUUUAUCUAAUUAUAUAUUAAUAUAUUUAUAGUUAUAUAACUAUUUAUGACUACGGGUGAAUAGCGUCGUACUAACUCUUAUUCAAAAUUUCACGACAUGGCGCGACAAACCAAACUAGUUAUCUUGUAAACCGCAAUGCCAACUUUAAUUUACAUUUGAAACCAAUGUACUAUAUUUCUCAUCAGAUAACCAAAUCACAUCAAAUUUCUAACUGAUUCAAACUCUCCAACAUUAUACUUCUAGUAUUAUAACUCACAAGUUCACAAAUUUCUAACUGAUUCAAGCAAAGCUGGAAUCUUUGGUGAUAACGACUACAUGCAGCAACAUUUCAAAUACAUUCUUUAACAUCUCAAGUACAAUGUUUCUAAGUUACACCAAAUGUCUAUAAUAUAUUACAUAUAUCCUCACAUAAAUCAAAUCGCAUCAAAUUUUUAACUGAUUCAAUCUUUCUAACAUGAUCCUUCUAGUAUCAUACCUCACAAGUUCACUAAUCCACAUAACCGUCCCAUGAAUUUCAAACACCUAACCAAGCCCAACAACCAAUAUGAAAUCAUGAUGGAAGAAGUUAAGAUCACCAGCAAACCAGGAUGCGACUCGAAAUCAUCAAGCUCCCAUGUCUUCCCAGUGAGAGGCUCCUGCAGCUGCAUUUUCACAAACACCUUGUGAUCAAAACUAAAACAAAUACAUAUAUACACUCUACACCAUCUCAGAUGAUACACGUUCUCACGCAAAGAAAUCGCAAUAUAUUACUUGAAAGUCAGGAGCUUUGAAUCCUAAUGAAACGCCCUUCGACUCAGUCCUUGCAGCUCGCACCACCAAGUUCCUCGUCGACUUCAAUCGCAGCGAUCGGAAGCUCCCAGUCCCCGAAUGUCUCCAUUUCGGCGGAAGAAUUGAACCAGUGCAUGCGAUUCUUCUUUCAUAAUUGGGCGGCGCCGCGGCAGUGGGAAGAACGGGAACAGCUGCUGCCGCCAUAGCCGGAAGCUCAAGAUUGUUCGGUAAGUUAGUUAUGUUUUUUUGGCGGUUCGGAUUUCAGUUGCUUUUGGAUAAAGUGGCAAAUCUGUUAAUUCUCAACAAUUCGAGGGGUGUUACUUGUGAAGUUAAGGACUAUGGAGAAAUAAUGGGUCUGGGCCUAGCCUGUGCAGAUAUCAUUGGGCCUCAGCCUAAUGGUCACAAAAUAUUUCCAUAAUUACCAAGGUAAAAUUCACUAAUUUCCCCUAGUAAUAUUUCAAUAUUAAAAUUCAUUAAUUUCCCCUAAAAGAAACAAAACAUUUGUGUGAAUGGAAUAAUUACAUAUAUCCAAUGACCAAGAAAUGAUGAAAUUGCUAUUUGGUCACUUAAGGUUUGGUAUGUAAUAGUGUGAUCACCUAGCUUUCAAAUAAAAUAGUGAGGUCACCUAAAUUUUGGACUAUGUAACAAAGCAGUAAUUUAUAAUUAUGUCCACUUCCAUCCAAGUUAAUAACUCAAAAUGCUGACAUCUUUCAAGAAUGUAUAUUUAAGAAAGAACUAAAUCGACCUCUCUAAACUCUCUAAUUGAUUACUCCACAUUGUAAUGAGUUUAGGAAAGUUCAUGGUGAAUUGUUACAUCACGAGUUUGAUGUACCAGUUCAAGACAUGGAGCGUAUAGUAGCCUCACUCUUAAUUAUUUGUGGAGGCAAGCCCCGCUAUGAGAGGGCAGGGGGUCCGAAAGUACGUCACAAACGACCGCUCACAUCGGAUACAUAUGAAGAGUGGGGAGACGUCCCUAUAACGACAAGUCAAUCACAUUAAACGCUCAGUGUGACGGGUUACUAACUCUUGUCAUUCCGUUUUGUAACAUUGACAACAGAACUCCUUAAAAACUCAUAAAUACAAUGUCGUCCAACUUCUAUCUACCUUCUUUCUCUAUAUACCUUUCCAAAUCAAACCGUACCUUUCUCUUAGAAUUCACAUUGAGCUCGGAUUAAAUUGAGAACCCUCAUCGUCAUUGGGUACCAACUUCUAUCUACAUCACCCGUUCCGUAAUUUGAGUGACCGCCAAACUACUCGAACAAAAAAAACCUAUAAAAAAAGUAGUAGUAGUAGUGCACUAGUACUCAAUCUCAAGCAUCAAAUGAGGUGAUGCAAAUGAUGACGAAUUAGCAAAGCUAAUCAAAUUAUUAGACUCCCUAAACCCUAUUAUUAUACAAAGUUAUCUUCUUAAUUUGGGGGGUUUAGUUAUAAAUUAUGUUGGUUCAAGUGGUUAGAGGCAUGGAACAUAACGGUUUGUCGAUGUAGACAUGAGAGACAGUUGUUUUAAAGCCAUGUCGGGUUGGAUUAUAACAAUCCUUGUCUAAUUGGGAAGAGGGAAAUUUGAUUAAGCUUCUAAUUUGUAAUUAAUAUUGGAUGGAUAACAUAUUAAAGUGGGUUACUUAUAAAAAAUGAGAAAUGGGAAAUAAAUAAAUAAGUUUUUUCUAAUAAAUAAUAUUCUUACUAUAAUUAAUUAAUUCCCCAACUAGAAAGCCAGCCAUCAUCAUGAUUCCAAGAUGACGAAUUACUUGUUUUUUUUUGAAAAAAUGAAUACUAUUAAUGAAUCUCAACGCAAAUAUUUCUCUCAAAAUUAACGAUUCAUGCAAGAGUCAGAAUGCCAACAAUAAAUAGUCGUUACGGAAAUUUACGAGCCAUCAUAUUACUACACCUUCUAACAAAUAAAACAAAAAAAAACAUAGUGCGAUAGUCAUAUUUCUUUUUAUAGGUGGGCUUAUAUAUUGAAAGAAUUUAAAUUUGAUAACAAUAAAAUAUGGGUUUUGAAUUUUAAGUCACUCAUAUAUUUAAAGAAAAUAAACACUACUUAUAUAAGCAGUUAGGGACGAGAAAUUGGUCAACUGCACUGUACCUCUGUACUGGCAAAUAGCUAAAUAAAAAUUGCUUCAUUUUCAUUUAAUUAACAAUAAAAUUACAGAAAUAUGAACCCCACAACUAACAAAUUAUAAAUUUUUAUAACCCAAUAGAAUAAUAACAAUUGGUAGUUUCCCCUUGGAGGUUCAACCUACUAAGAAUCAUAAACAAUCUUUAAAUAACUUAAUAAGUCCCAUAACUUUGACCGGGUUACAUACCCGUCUCGAAACUUUGAAAUGUUACGUAUCCAUCCCGGAUUUAUAUUUUGAGAUCACUAUACUCAAUGACGGAGCUAGAAUGAAAACAAGCAUUGAGCCGGAUUUGAAUUAGAAAUUUAUAUGUGUAUCGAGUAACCAAUUGACGAAUAUAUAUUUUUAAACCUAAUACUAUUUUAAAAUAAAAAGAAAAAUAUCCAUUAUAUUGUGCAUCUCGCGAAAUGGACACAUGUAGUGUUUAAUUUCCUGUCUUCUAUCUUGUAUCGACUUAGAAUCUUGGUUUACUCCAAUAACAAAAAAGUACUAUAUUUGAAUUUCAUAAACUAAAUUUAUUAUUGUUACUUAGUCUAAACAAAUAAGUAGAUGAAGAAAACUUCAAAUACUAUUAUAGAUAUUGUGAAAUCAUCAAAACCUUACAUAUAAGUUAGUAUACGAGAUUAGAAAUAAAGAUAGUCGGGACUCUCACUAACUCAUCUAAUUCCGACCCGACCAAACACUGAAUUGAGUUUAAAAUUUCCCUCAUCCAAACUCAGAAACGUUAUAAAUAUACAUCCAAAAUAAAUGUUCUGGCCCGAAAUUGAGGUGAGCCGAGAAUCAACCCCCCUUCCCCCAUUCUGCCCCUAUAAACCGUCUAUUUUUACUCCAUUACUUGACCGCCGACCUAUCUGAAGUCAGAUUUCGGACAAUAAAGUGAGCAGCUGAUAGAUCUCCUGGAUAAUAGAGCCUCCGACUAAAGUUAGGGACUAAUUAUAUAUUUUACGUAUUUUAUUAUAUUGCAUAUGUCAUGUAUCUAUGAGAACAAGUCACAAGUUUUCCAGAUUUUCUCAAAGAAAGAGCAUCAAUAUAUUGUAUUGAACUUCAAACUCAUCAAAGUCCAAAAUUCUUUCCACACUGCAACUAUUUUUCAAUCUCUUUGUUUAUUUUUCUUGACAUGUAUAAAUGAAGAAGAAGAAGCAAGCAAGCAGCCAUUAAACCAUGAAGAGGAAGAGAUCAGAAAUGGAGAAAGUUUCAGAGAUCAAAUCAGCCAUUGAUGAGCUUACAGUAAUGGCCAUCACAAUGAAACCUCAUGAUGAUGGCUAUGAUCAUGAAGUUGAUGGCCAUAACUGCAGUGACGGACAUCCUGCAGCUGCAAUCCCCACAAUGCCCUUUCUCCAUCUCUGCACCUUGGUCAUUCAGGUUCUUGGUAAGUCUAGUUUCUGUCUUUUUACUUUUGCGUGCUAUAGGGAAGGAGACUAACGGUUCAAAAUUUAAUGAAGUAACGGUGUGGGGAAAAUAGUAAAAUCUUAGUGACCUUUAACGAUUCGAGUUAUUAUGAUUGACGGGUCCUUGACGAGUUGAGAGCUUUUUAAUAUAAGAUCCAACACGAACACUUUUCAACAACUUAAGUUAUUGAAAUUAACACGUUCUUAACAAGUUCAAUUUCGUCUUUUACUUUUGCAAGCUAGUGAGACCGACGGUUCAAGGUGCAAUGAAGCAACACUACUAGAGAAAAUAGUAAAUCCCAGUAACCUUUAGCAAUUCGAGUUAUUAGGAUUGACGGGUCCUUGACUAGUUGAGAGCUUUUUAAUAUAAGAUCCAACACGAAUACUUUCCAACAAUUUGAGUUAUUGAGAUUAACACGUUAUUAACGGGUUCAAAGGCUAAAAAAACAUAUAUAGGCUGAAAAAAUCCGGCCUACCGGGUUCAAACCAGUGACCUAAGAAUUUGCUGCUACACUACAGUACUCCGCUCUUCCAACUGAGCUAAGGUCGGAUUGUGCUCAGUUUGGAUUUCCUCAGUAUUUUAACUAUGAGUUGUAAAUGUUGGGUUGCUUUGGUGCAGAUAAGAUUGGUCCAACAAUGGCUGUUCUUAGACAAGACAUAACUCAAAACAUCCAGGUGAGACAAGGAUUCUUCAGUAACUCUUCAAGUACUUCAUUUUUGUAAUGUCAUUCUUGAUUGAUUGCUUGUUUGUUAUGUAGAGAUUGGAAGGCCAAUGUGAAUCUGAUCCUUCACUGUACUCGAACUUGGUCGAGAUUCUGAAGAAAGAAUCCAGCGAAGGCAUCUCCAAGAAGAGGGACAGUUGCAGCAAGGCCUUUGUAUGGCUUACAAGGUUUCUCCAGAUUCGAUGUCGACGCGAUUUUUCGUACAUUGUUGUCAUGAACCACCGCAUCCCAAUAAUUCGAGUUGUUGGGAGAGGAUCCCAAAAGUUAUCGGCUAGAUUCUGAUGAUGAUUCCAUGUGAUUUUCCACACAGGUCACUGGAUUUCACAGCUAGUUUGUUACAAAGGCUAGCCAAAGAUCCUGAGCAGAACAUGGAGCUAGCUGUGGGAGAAUCAUACAGCAUCAGCUUGAAGCCAUGGCAUGGAUGGAUCUCUUCAGCUGCAUUCAAAGUAAAUUAACUCCACCUUAUAAGAACAG
rnacentral:lncRNA from 1 species